rnacentral:lncRNA from 1 species
UUUCCUUCUACUUCACCACCCUCUCCCUGAUCCAACCAUGGCUGCCACAAUGGCCCUCUCCUCCCCCUCCCUCGCUGGUAAGGCCGUCAAGCUCGCUCCCUCGGCCUCCGACAUCCUCGGCGAAGGCCGCAUCACCAUGCGCAAGAGUGCCGCCAGGUCCAAGCCCGUCUCCUCCGGCAGCCCCUGGUACGGCCCCGACCGCGUCAAGUACCUCGGCCCCUUCUCCGGCGAGCCCCCCUCCUACCUGACCGGUGAGUUCCCUGGCGACUACGGCUGGGACACCGCCGGCCUCUCCGCCGACCCCGAGACCUUCGCCAAGAACCGGGAGCUGGAGGUCAUCCACUGCCGCUGGGCCAUGCUCGGCGCCCUCGGCUGCGUCUUCCCCGAGCUCCUCGCCCGCAACGGCGUCAAGUUCGGCGAGGCCGUCUGGUUCAAGGCCGGCGCGCAGAUCUUUAGCGAGGGCGGCUUGGACUACCUCGGCAACCCCAGCCUGAUCCACGCCCAGAGCAUCCUCGCCAUCUGGGCCUGCCAGGUCAUUCUGAUGGGCGCCGUCGAGGGCUACCGUAUCGCCGGUGGCCCGCUCGGCGAGGUGACCGACCCCCUCUACCCCGGCGGCAGCUUCGACCCCCUCGGCCUCGCCGACGACCCGGAGGCGUUCGCAGAGCUCAAGGUGAAGGAGAUCAAGAACGGAAGGCUGGCCAUGUUCUCCAUGUUCGGGUUCUUCGUGCAGGCCAUCGUCACAGGGAAGGGGCCGCUGGAGAACCUGGCGGACCACCUGGCGGAUCCGGUGAACAACAACGCUUGGGCCUACGCCACCAACUUUGUCCCCGGGAAGUGAGAGGACAUGCAUGCUUCAGCUCCCCCUAUCAUUUCCCACCGAGUCUCCUUUGUGCUCUCAUGAACGUAUCUGUAAAUUAAUCUGAUGCUUUGUGUUUUCUCGUAUUACCAAAUGCUCAAGUUUACUCAUAUAAUAUAAAUAUAAUAUAAUAUAUAUAUAUAUAGUAAUAAUCUUAAUAUUUGGAAGAUAUAUUAAAAUUUGUAGGGGCCCAGCAAGUGGGAGACAUGGCCCACAGUUCCGGCCCACGGAGGGCGUUCGUUAUUUCGGUUACCAUUUCGAGACGGUUUCUUGAUGGGUUGAAAUGACCUACCCACGCCGAACCCUCCCUUCUCCAACCGAGAGAACCCUAAUCUCUCCGAUUCCCGCCUCUUCUCUGCCUCCAUGGCGAAGCCACCGAGUUCUACGAUCUCCUCGAUGCGCCAACCUUUUCCGCGGAUCUCUAACCCAACCAUCAUCCUCCCCAGGAAAUUCCUCAGGAUAUCCCGCCAAUCCGCCUUCAAACCGGCGAUCGACGUCCGCCCCUUCCCCCUCCGCUUUGGAGGACGAUGAGGAGUAGGAUAUCGCGGUCUUUGAAUGUCGUUCUUGAAAUCCUAGCAACGCUAAAGAAGAUGGCGGUCGCUGGCCCUGCUCUUGGGUUUGUUCUUGAUGACGAGGAGGAGGAGAUGAAGGGUUUCGAUCUCUUUGAUUGCCGGCCUUCGAAAGCCGUUCGUGAAAUCUUAGCAACCGCUAAUGGGAUAACGGUCGCUGGCCCUGCUCUUGGGGUUCUUACUGUUGAUGGCGAUUGGUCCGCUUUCUCCGGUGGGUGACGGGAAGUGGUGAGCUGUUUCUUCUCUUCGCUUCGUCCUGCUCCACAUCGUCGUCAUGGUUAUGAUCAUCUUUAGCGUUUUCACACCGUUGAACCCAUCUUGUUCUAGAUCUUCAUACCGCUUUUUGGUGUUCAUCCGUUUCUUUUUCUCCAGCAACUGGAACCAAAAACAGGAAAAGCAUGAUCAUAUUCUAGAUACAGUGGUUAUAUUCAUCGUAUUGGUUCUUGGGAUGGAGAAGCUUGACUUCAAGCUUCAUCUAUAGUGGGUUUCUGGUCUUGUAUCUUUCACUAAUGUGGGUUUCUUAUGUUGCUAGGAAGUUAUUUGCCUCUUUAUGUUUUUCCUUCUUUCUAAUUUGUUCUUGCUAAAUUCGCCAACCUUCAUUUUCUUUGAAGUGAAUUAUGUGCUCUCUGUUGAGUCUGAGUUGAGAAUGUAAUGCUGUUGUAAAAGAUCCAUUGGAAUGUACAUUAUACUUUCGGUGGAUUGAAUUGCUCAGUGUCACAUAUGGUUGCUGGUAUUGCCCAUAAGCAGAGAGAGUCCAUAUGUACAUUUGUACCCUGUGAUGUCCAGAUAUCUUUUCAUAAGCAUGGUUGUGGCUCACAAGAAUUCUUAAGUCCUUCUUAGAUGAAUCUCUUAAUUUAAACUUUUCUUAUCACAAACAUGUUACACAAUAUGUUCAUGCAGUAUCUGUUUUCAUGUUGGCAUAUUGGGUGCAACAACCUCAGGCAGAUCUUAAUCAGAUUGCUUGUGCUGCUAUUACAUCUACCAUUGAAGGCUUAAGUUCUGCAUUGAGAGGUAUAAAAAGUUCAUCAUCUUUAUGUGAUUACCAUUGUUUUAGGAUAGACAAUAAUAUUGGUUGCUUCCAAUGCUUGUUUAUAGAGGGCAAACCCUUAGUGUCAGAGUUAGGUUGUUCUCUUGCGAGGUGAGUGACCAAGGUUCGAUUCCAGAAACUAGCUUCUUUACUUAUUAGAAUGAAGCUGCAUAGAUGCCAACUUUCUAUUCAGAAAAAUAAAAAUUGAAGGAUGCCAACACUCAACAUUAUUUAAAAAUUUUGGAUUGUUUAGACCAUUAUCAACACUAUACAGGUUGACCUGUUAUACUCUGACAAGAUUCUGGUUUCAGUAUAGAACCGGUAUCUUCUGAACUUGUGUACAUGUAUAUGUGUCUUGUGCAUAUGUAUGUAUAUACAUAUAUAUAUAUAGUAUAUAAGCACAUGCAUAUAUAUUGCUAAACAUUUACUUGAACUCUUGCUGCAUGCCACCAACAUUUCAUUUUACAUCAUUCGGUUUUUACAGUCACCAGUUGUUUGACUAAUGCUCAGAGUGCUUGUCAUAAUUCUAUGCUCUCACAAAUGUUUUCUCAACAUGCACAAGUGUCUUGUGAAGAUUCCAAUUCUUCUUACUUUUUAAUGCAAGGCAAAAUUUUUUCUUGAUGUGAUAAUAGUAGAGAAUGAUCCAAUGAUCUGAUACUGACUAAUGUCGCAAAAAACCAUGAGUGGUAAUCAGAGUUUGACAAUGGGGUUUAUAGGUCCAUGGACAAGGUAUAAGGCUAUACUUCCAGAAACAACAGUGUGUUAAUCUGGGAAUUAGGUAGUUUUGUGGACUAAAUGGAGUAAGAGGCCAACACUUAUUUUCUUCCUUUGUACCUUUUUCUUCCUCCCCUCAACAUCUUGUUCUACUUCUACCCAUAUUUGUGAUUCUGUUUUUAAGACGUCUUUUGGUAUCUAUCUGUUCAUGGUUGCGUCCUGACUGCAAGUCAUUUAACAAGUUGGACAAGUAUGUUUUCUGUGAUCACAUCAGUUUGGAGCUCAAGGUCAUGGCUACAAACCAGCUAAGAGCAGUUAGAGGCAUGCUUUGUCCUGGUACAUUUUCUGCAAUCACAUCACUGGAUCAUGAAAAUUCAUAAUAGUAAUAUUGAUUUUGAUAGGGCAUAUAACAACCACAUAGCAUGUCUGAAAGUUUCAAGCAGGUGAAGUACUUGUAAGCUGUAGCAAAUUUCAAGGGUCUUCUCUUAUAGUAUCUUGGAAGCCAGUGGAUUGAAAUGCUUUUUAUCUGGAUCAAAAUGUAUCUUGAUAUUAUUCUCUUAGACGCAUUAUAGUUGUCUUUUAAUUAAGCUGCCUUUGCUGCCUCCUUGUUCCCUUUCUAGAUAAUUCUUGUCAGUAAGCAUUUUGAGACUUGUAUAGGCACUACAGAAUAUCGGUGCAAUUCCAACAUAGUUAUGGUAGUGCGAGACAUACUAGACAAUUAUAUUUGUUCAUGACAUAGUGAACAUGUAGAACUCUUAGUAUAGGGCAAUCUGGUUUAACCUUUUUUAUCUGGUGUAAUUACACUUGUCUCUCUGCCAUAGGUUGUAAAGGUGUCGUGAAUGUAUCAAGAUGAAAACCACCAGCUUUCAGAAAAGGAGCUGCUUAGAGACUGUCAACUUUUGAAGCCUUUUAAGGUAAAAUUAUUUCAUAAUUGUUGCAGGGUACCAUUUGUUAGAUGGUGAACUUACAAGGACGUGUGAUUGCUCCUUUUAAGGUAAAACAAACAUUCAAAACCACAAGUCACAUUUUGAAUGUUUGUUUUUGAUAGUUGACUCUGAUUAGGCUAUGGAACUCAGCAUAAGACUCGAGAAAUUUGCUGAUGUAAGAACUCCUUUCAGAUGAUUUAUGUACGUGCUGGUUCACCAUGAAACUUGUAGAUAUGCUAUUUUGAUUUGAAGUCCCAUAUAUUUUUAUUAAAAUUUUUGCAUCCUGGUUUCUUGAACUCGUAUAUUUCUAUUCAUGGCACUAAAUAUUCUCUAAUAUGGCAUAUUAUUUUGUGAUUGGUUUUGGGCCAUUAGGAAGGUCGGUAAGAUGCGAAUGUUAAAUGGCAACAUUGUACUGUGAUCAAACUGAGUCCAGACUCGAAAUGUUAAAUGGUAAUAUUGUGCUAUGGUUUUAUUUUUGCUUUGGUUUUUCCCAUGCUCAAGAAGAUAAAGAUUUUUUUCAUGUUCUUUUUUUUUUUUACUAAGAUUUAUCAAGUAAAUUGGUGUCGAGCAAAUUGGUAAUGGUUGUCCAGUUCAAGAAUUUGGAAGCUGAACCAACUUACAACAUCAGCCUGGAUUACAACCUCUGUACAUCAUCAUAUGUUGAGACACUUCACUGCCAAAAAGUUGAACCAACUUAUUAGACGUACAAGUGUUCUUUAUAGAUGAGCACAUGUAAUAGGAACACAAGUAUCUUACGUUAAUCAUAUAUUACAAGGAUAUCGUUCUCAGUGACAAGACCUCUGCAUUGAUAUUUGUAUAUCAAUGCAUCCACGGGUAUCUUUCACUGCAUCAAAUAUCAAUAAUUGUCGACCACUGUGGUGUGCUGGAGACAGCAACGCCGUCCACAAAAUAUCACAGAUAGGAUCUGUUUCACCUCCGCUGUGUGCAUGACAGUUGAGUUGGUGACCAAUCAAUAUCGGUAGGUCGCUGCUGUUAACUCUUCUUGUCCUGGCUUCCCUACGCCGAGCCAACAGCAUUAACGAGCUCGCGCCCCACCGUCUGCGCCGCACGACGUACGUACAUCAAAUUCAUGUGCCUCAGCCAACUCCGUCGUCGAGCCACAGAUGGAAGCGUCAUAUUUAUGAUCGUAAAGCCUAUCUUGUUGUCGUAAGGUUUCGAACGGGAGGCCUUCAUUAAAUACAGAUUCCCAAACACAUCGGUACUACCGUGAAAUCAAAAGCCGUGGUGUUGACUGGAGCAACUUUGGCCUCUGCUUUGUAUUAGUAUCUUCCAAUCUAUUCUUCCUCACUUGUUCUUUUCUCCAACACUUCUUCUGGUACGGACUCAUUCCCCUCUGCUUUUCCUUUCGGUAACUUUCUCGUAUCUUUUUCUCUUCGUAUACAAAUCUUCCUUGCGGCAUGUCGGUAAUGUGCAGGGUUUCAGCUUGCAUGAUGAAGAUGGGCAGAGCAUUCCCCGCAUGCCUCCUCCUCCUCACACUCGUUGUCUGUCUUCCGGGUUCCGCCAACGGCCUCGUCAGGAUUGGGCUGAAGAAGAGGCCGCUGGACCGGAACGGCCGGCUCGCUGCGCGGCUGUCUCACCCGGAGGAGCUCGGUGUCCUAGCCGCUCGUAAGUAUGGCCCCCUCCUCCGCGACAGUCUCGGUCUUGAGCACGGCCCGGACGGACCGGCGGAGCCGGACGACGGCAACAUUGUCGCCCUCAAGAACUACAUGAACGCUCAGUACUUCGGGGAGAUUGGGAUCGGUUCUCCGCCGCAGAACUUCACGGUCGUCUUCGACACCGGGAGCUCCAAUUUGUGGGUUCCGUCCUCCAAAUGCUAUUUCUCGGUGAGCCAACUCACAAUACUGAUUGAUUUGAGGAAAGUCAUGAAGGGAAUAAUUAUGGUGGUUUUGGUUGCGCAGGUCGCCUGUUUCUUCCAUGCCAAAUACAAAUCGGGCCGGUCGAGCACCUAUCAGAAGAAUGGUUCGUCUCUAUUUUUGUUUAUCUAUCCACUGGCAGGAUCUUGAUAUCAUAAUCAACGUCAUUUUUAUUCUAUUGGUAGUUGGAACAAAUAGUCAUCACAAGUAUUUGGUAAUCAAUUCCACUAUACAUAUAAUUCCUUACAAAAUGAAAUAUCUAUAACUUCAUUUACUUCUGAAACCUCACAUGUAAUCUUUGCUGACAUGUCUUAAUAUUUAUUUAAAUGGUUGAUGCAACAAAUAGCCAUUGCAAUUACCUGGGAUCUGAUUCCAAUAUAGCUGACUUCUCAUAAGAUAAGUUUCAAUAACUUCAGACACUCCUGCAUCAUGCUUGAGUAGAAAUUUGGAAUCCGUCAAUGAUACAUGUUUGUUUGUUGUGUGGAUAUCACUGGUUUAGAUUUACCACAUGCAUGCUCAUACUCUUGUUCUUAAAGGUCAGAUCUAAGUGAACCAAUUAUUACUUAUUUUUAGUUAACAGAACUUCAAAUAGUAUUAUUUUUCAUUCAACAACUAACCCUCGAGUUUUCAGAUCUGUGAGGUCGAUUUCAAUAUGUUCUAUAAUAACAGUGUUUUUUUACUUAUAUUUUAUGAUUUUAAAAGGCCAGAUCUUUGUGACUGGCAAUUUUUACCUGUUAAUUUUUCAUCACUGCUGGCCACUCAUAUAGGAUAGUCUUCAUUAAGCAAAGAAAGGGACAGAAGCUUGCAAGAACACGAUAAAUAUUUUGCAAUGCUUUAUACCUUCAGGUGCACUCGAACUAUAAAAUUUUCUGUUUUUCUGUGCUUCUCUGUAGAUUAUUAUCAUUUUGUAUGAUCUAUUAUAUCCUUAAUUGCAUAAUUAGUACUAGUACUUCCACUUUUACUAUUUAAUGCGUACUUUGAAGAUAUAAGAAACCAUAUUUUGAUAUGGAGGUGCCUUUUUUCUAUAUCAUGAUCGACUACCUAUUCGAUUUUAGCAAUGAUUUGAACUGUAAGAAGUUCAAGAACAUUUUCACCAAAAAAUAAUUUUAAGAAAAUAUUGAGUUAUUUAACUUAAUGUAUAGAUUCUGCCAUCUGUUCACAUGGUUAUACCUUCAUUUAGGCCUUUAAACCACCUGUGCCUUAUGGACUUCUAGAUUUUCUUAUACGGUUAUAUCUUGACUCAUCAACAUAAAUGUAGGCUUUUUUCUCAUGGCUACAUAUCAGCAUACACUAACAUUUCAGUUUGUGCUUGGAUUGACCAUCUUAAUUGGUCACAAUAGUUCCUACUCAGUCAUCAUCUUGGAUACGCAUAGCUGUCAUCAGAUAUGUAUGUGGUUAGCUGUGUCUUGGAAGUUCUUGCCGCUGUCCUCUUUGCAUAGCACAUUACACCCAUGUUCAGUAAUAAUCUGGUAUUAUCUUUAAGAUUCUUGAAUGAUUUCCUCUAUAUUUAUGUUACUUUAUAAAUUAGUGUUUUCUUUGGGAAACAAUAUUACUAAUUGUAAGAAUCUAUAAAUUUAUUGCCUUUUUCCUGAAUGUUGAAUGAACAACUUGUUUUUUUGGAGAACACUUCAAACUAAUUCUUUUUAUCUUCUUUUCAGGUAAAACUGCAAAUAUUCACUAUGGGACCGGAUCAGUAUCAGGUUUCUUUAGUCAAGAUCAUGUCACAAUUGGUGACAUUGUUAUUAAGGAUCAGGUCUGGAUCCUAUGGAAUUCCAAUCCCAGUCAAUCAUGCAAUUUUUGCCUUUAUAGUUUCUUAAUCCCAUCGCAUGACAUUGUUGCCAACAAUUAGAUAUGGAGCUUCAUAGGAUUUCAAUCUGAUGUAUUCUACCCCGUGUAGUUUUGGAAGGUUCUAUCUUGUGUAAUGGAUAGUGCAAACUCACAGUGCUGCUAUUUCAGGCCUUCAUUGAAGCCACAAGGGAGCCAAGUAUUACCUUUUUGGUGGCAAAAUUUGAUGGAAUACUUGGGCUUGGAUUUGAAGAAAUCUCAGUUGGCAACGCAGUGCCUAUAUGGUAUGCAGUGCAUAUUGAGUAAUACUGCUUGUGAUUGUCGUUAUAUGAUGGUAUUUCUCCUUUGUUUCUUUGUUUGUUCCUUUCUUAUUUUUGAACAAGAGAUUCCAAAGGCUGUUUCUUUAUGUUAUAGCUUAUAGUAAGUUGGGUUCUUUCCGAUCAGCUUAAGCAUUUAGAACAAAUGGUAACCAAGUCACUAUUAUCAUGGCUCUCCUAUUUAUCCCUAUUUGUUUAAUGUUUCACAGUGCAUUUGCCCAUAUAUGGGUCAUUGCAAAGCCCAUAAACAUUUGGCCCAUAUUUUUAUCUUGCACUUGGGUCCAUGUGUCAGCUCAAGUGCAUUGGCCCAAAUCGGACUAACAUGUGAGGGUUAUCUUAAUUGCUUUUUGUGUGCUUAACGAUAUUGGCCAAACUGUCUGUAAAAAUAAGUUGCUGCAGAUAUAUGAAAGGAAAGAAGAGCUGGAGGGAUCCACCAUCAUUACAUUUUUAACCAAUGGCAGAAAAGACCGUCAGGUUCAAGAACCAAUAACCAUUGUCAUGGAAAGUUAAUAUUUCAUAUUCUAGGCUAUGGCUAAAAACAAUCAAGAAAUGGUCUUGAUGUUCAAGAUGGUCUUAAAAUGAGUGUAUCUAUUUAAAAGACAGAAAACUAAUUAAAAUAUUGGUUUUCAAGGCUUGGUAACAUAUUGGCAAUUUGUUAAGCUUUAGCUGCUUUAUCAUACGGUUUUCCCUCUAGCUCCAGAAAAGGGAGCCGAUGGUUUUAGUUUCUUAUUUGAAGACACGUUUCUGCUUUUAUUAUCUUUUUCUUGUGACUAAGUCAGCUGCAACAGCUGUUUUUUCUGCACCAUUGACUAAACUCAACAUGCAUAUAGGCAAUAAGUUAUUUGAUGUUUAGAUGCUAUAAAGGGUAUAAAUCAACUAAAUGGAUUGGAUCAUCAAUUGCCAACUAGUUAUAAAUCUUAGGUUAGCAGAACACAUAUAUAGAAGAUGCGCUCACAAAUAUGCAUUAUGGGUGGUAUUCUCAUAUAAGGGGAACGUAGGGACCAUCAAUUUAAUUCUGUUUUAUACUGCACACUUUAAUGAAUCUAUAUUCUAUAUUUUCUAUUGUGUUAUCUAUUUGUAUGUGUGCAUGUAUGAGUGGGAGCAUGCAUAGAUGUAUUAUAUUACAUAGUGAUUCUCUAUAAUCAGUUCUUUUAAAACAAAGCAGAGGCUUACUGAAGGCGUGAAAAAUCAGUUUCUGAUCAAAAUUUAUCACUGUCUGAUGUGAACAACUUUGGAGAAAAAAUGCUCCUUGCAUGAGAGACUACAAAGAGAAAUGGAUCCCUAAUUAGUAGUCUUGUGCAAAUUUCCUAAUCAUGCCCAUUCAGGCUAUUUUAUAUCACAGUUAUGCUAUGUGACUAGUUUUUCCUCAACAGAGAUUGCCAACAACAUACCAAAACUCAUCACGCCACAAAUAUUAAUACCUUAUUAUGAUUUUUUAUUUUCAUGUGAUCAAGAAGGGGCUUUGUCAAAACUAUCGAACACUUCUAGAUUUAAUGCUUAUGCUAUUGCUUGUAAUGUUUGCAAUAGGUGUCAAAUUCCGUUCAUCAUGAUUCUAGUGCCAAAAGGAAACUGUCAAUGGAACUUUGAAAUAAAUUAAUUUUAGCUUCUUUUAUUUGACAGGUACAACAUGGUCAAUCAAAGUCUUGUUAAAGAGCCUAUAUUCUCUUUCUGGUUCAACCGGAAUGCGAAUGAAGGGGAGGGAGGUGAAAUUGUUUUUGGAGGGACUGACCGAGAGCAUUACAAAGGCGAACACGUUUACGUUCCCGUAACUAAGAAAGGCUAUUGGCAGGUUGAUUAUGGAUUUUUAUUUGAGCAUACAAGUUUUAGUCUUUCUUUCUGUUUAUGUAAUCUAUUAGUUUUCUUUUGCAGUUUGACGUGGAAGAUGUCCUUGUUGGCGGCCAAACAACUGGUAGUGCAUUCAAGUUCUUUAUUUUUUUUAACAAAAUUUAUUUUAGUGUAAAUAAAUCUUUCAUUUUAUGCUUUUUAAGCUUGGUACAUAUUUGAUUUCAGGAUUCUGUUCUGGAGGAUGUGCAGCAAUUGUGGAUUCUGGAACUUCACUGAUUGCUGGCCCAACAGUAAGUUUUGAAAAAUUACAUGUGAAGAUAUGGCAUGCCUCCCUUUAUAUCUAUUAUUGUAUUUUUAGUUUGCUCUAUAGGCAUUUUUUUUCAUCAUAUCUGUGUGAUAUAUGUACGUGAGAACUUCUUGUGAUACUUCAAAAGUCACAAUUUGCAAGCAAUUCUUUCGAGGAUGGACAAAUGCAGUCGUCAUUUUGCAGUGGCCUGUGUGCAACUUUGAUGCAUAAACAAUUAGUCUGGACCUUAUUUACAUUACUUGUUAUUCAGCAUAGCUACUUCCUAAAAGAUCUAGUAAAUUCUAUUAUCGAAUUCUUGGCUUCUUAUGCAUAAGAAACCAACAGAAACAUAUACUGUAGAAUAUGUAUUCAGGCAGUGAUUAGAAUUAGAAAGUUUGACAAAAAAAUUAUAUAGAAAAAGAUACUGAUUUCCAUUUUAGGAAAUCUGGAAAAAAAAAAUAGGAAAUAACUGACCUUUAAGCUUCUUAUGAAAUAGUUCAGCUAAUGUGCAAAAUCAUAUUGAUAACCUUUAUUCUUCAUAGUCUUGAAGCUAUAAUGUUAAUGGCCAGUUGUGAUUGCCCGUAGUGCCCUUUUUGGUUAAGACCAUAGUUUCUGAUCUGUUAUGUGCAUAAACAUGUUCUUCUUGGAUCUGAAAGUCAUAAUCCCUGUAUGCAAUCUCAUUAAAACUGGUGUAGCUAACAAGUUUUUUGAAAUUUCUUUGCAGACUGUUAUCGCAGAGGUAAACCAGAAAAUUGGAGCGGAUGGUGUUGUUAGCCAACAGUGCAAAGCAGUAGUCGCACAAUAUGGUGAAACCAUUAUGAACAUGAUAUUAGCAAAGGUUCUUACCAUUAUCCUCUACACAGAAUUCUUUUGAAGGACUUCCAUCAAAUGUUUAAGACAAAUGAUUUCAUUAAUUCUGUGGUUCCUGUCGUAGGAAGAACCAGCGAAGAUUUGUUCUAAGAUUGGUCUUUGUGCUUUCAAUGGAACUCAAGGGGUCAGGUUCGCAUCAAUAAAAUGUUCUUCUAUAUAUGUAACUCUCAGAAUAUAUUUCUUUUACUUUACUAUAUCUAUUUCUGUGUACGCAGUUUGGGCAUCAAGAGUGUGGUCGACAACCAAGUCGAAAAAUUAGAUAGUGGUCUCAGCAAUGGUAUGUGUUCCUACUGUGAAAUGGCAGUCGUAUGGAUGCAAAGUCAGCUCACGCAGAACAAGACACUAGAGCAGGUGUUGAACUACCUCGAUGAGGUGAGGUUGCAUCCGGAGACACUUUUAUUUAGCCUCGGAUGUUGUCUGUAUAUAUUUCCCUUGUUCAUUGCAGUUAUGCGAGCGAAUACCAAGUCCCAUGGGGGAAUCAGCCGUCGACUGUAAUAGUCUCUCCUCCAUGCCUGUGAUAACUUUCAAUAUUGGUGGAAGGAAUUUUGACCUCAGACCGGAGCAGGUAGAUAGUAAUUAAUGACUUUCCAUUAGAAUAAUGAAGUAUGAUUGCUCCUAUUAAAUCAAAUCAGUUCUUUUGGUUCAUUUCACUUACUAGAAUCCCACUUGAAAGGAUGUUUCCAAGGUUAGUUUUACUCUGCUGACCAUGGGAAAAGAACCACAGAUCAGACUGACGCAGCAAGCACUUAAUCUACUUGGAUUCAGAGCUCUAGAGGGGUUGAAUAAAGAUUGCUGAUGUGUGAAAGGACUGGAUGACCUGCGACUAACACUUAUCUUUUUGAUAGAAUCCAACAUCUAACAUUUAAUGCUAGAUGAUCCUAUUAUUAUCUCUAGUUGAUUGCUUUAGAUGAUCCUAUUCUAAUUAUCUCAUAUUCCCACUAUUGCUGUGGGUCUGUAGACCAGAAAACUGCAGCAAACAUACAUUUCCUUAUGAUAGAUGGGUAUGGACAUGAGAGCUUCUCUUCAGCAUCUGUGGCAGAUUAGUCCAUUUGAAACUGGGUAUCAUGGUUGCUUUGCAUCAAGCUUCAUAUGUUCAAAGGACUUGACUUGUUCUUGUGCACAACUCGAAUAAUUCCUUCUGAUCAAGCUUCAACUGUUCUUUGAAUACAAUGACCUGAUCAUCUCUAAUUUUUGCUCAUCUGUUACAGUACAUACUCAAAGUUGCCAGUGGAGGAUCUGAGCAGUGCAUCAGUGGAUUUACAGCUCUGGAUGUGCCCCAAGGUCCACUUUGGUACGCCACCUUCUCCAUAUGCUUCUACAGUACAUACUCCCGGUUGUAGCCGGAGUCAGCCUCUGAUGUAUGUGAUUCCUCCAUGGCCGCAGGGUACUCGGUGAUGUUUUCAUGGGAGCGUAUCACACUGUGUUUGACUACGGCAAUCUUAGGGUUGGAUUCGCGGAAGCAGCUUAAAGAUGGUUAAUUAUGUUGAAGUAUAUGCACCAUAUUAUAUAUGGGUAUGUGAGUAUGUUUCUGGGCUCUACUGUUCCUGCUUAUCUUAGUGACACUACGAUAUGACAUCCUAUGCCAUUAUUCUGGAACAACAACAAGAGAUGUAGAUAAGGUGGCCCCCUUGUAUAAAAGCUGAUGUGGAUAUGAUCCACCAAGCUUAUCCUCCCUUCAACUCUCCACUGCAUGCUUAAGCUUAGCCUCCCACGACACGUAAACCGCGUGGCGAAGCUGCUGUCAUCGGCAUACUACUAAGUCAUAGUGUACCAACUACAUGUCGCCGGACAAGAUGGUUUGCUACGGCAAGGCUUAGGGCUUUUACUGUUUGCAUUCAUGCAUGCAAUAAUGAAUGGGGAGUGGAGGGGAGCUGUCACGGUCAUGCAUCUAAAGCUGGUCUUCCUCUUGAAGCUUGCUUGACACGAUAAACCAUGAAGAACGAACGAGGAGGGAGGGUAGGAGGAGUUGGUGCUGAUUUGUUGGCUGCUUGCAGUUGUUUUAGAAUGCCUGCUUGUGAUAGACAGUGCUUACACCUAAUCUGAUUGAUCAGCAUUCCGGAAUAAAAUACACCCACACGUGUAGCUUCCGAUGGUGUGAUUUCGGUGGAUGUGAUGGCUUUGGCUUCAUGGGAUUUAAAUUCAUUCGAUUGACCCUCAUAGAGCCAAAGCAAAAGUACAAGCGAACAAUCCAUUACUAAAUCAAUAGCAUCCAUGUCAUGGCAUGAAAACGUUUUUUUUUUUUUUUACAAAUAUAAUUGAUUAAAAAAAAAUUGGAUCCUACGAGCCUCUAGCCACCUAAGUCGUCUCCGUAGGUCGGCUUGCACAGUUAGCCACACCUCCACCCCGUCAAUCAUCUCCAUUCAUCUCGAACAAUCACCUACGACGCCUUUGGCCUCCUCCAUACAUAGGUUUACCUACCAUCUACUUAUCUUCCUUGUCCCACCCUCUACUAUCACUCAUGGCCCCCUCCUUCCUCGUUCACCAUCGUUAACCUUCCUUCUUUACCUACGUUCUCCUCCUUCCUGGUAAGCAUGGACAAUACGUAGAUUGAAUUGUGGAGCUAACAUGACUAGAUUGGAGUGGUCGAUGUGUGGAGGCAACCAAUGAUCAAGCGACUACCGAUAAAGAUGACCAAGAUAAAAUCAUUAAUCAUAAAAAAAAAACUUGGCAAAAAUUCUUUAAAAUCAGAUUAUUUUUUUUUAUUCGUCCCAAGAAUAAUCUUAUCAUAUGUGACUAGAAGCUUACGUAUUGUUAACAUCAUAAAUAAAAAAAUCAUAAAAAGAAUAACCUUAUCGUGAUGCCAGUACUUUAACUUGUAGCGGUCUAAAAUAUUGUUUGGGUAAAACACAGUGGACAAAAAAAAGCCUAGGGAUUCAAGGUUGGAGAACAAGAAUGGAAACCAGCUGCAAGUCUAAAUCCAGUAGAAGACGGCACCGGAUGCAGUGACCGGCGACCUACUACAUCGGCCCAUCACAUCAGCCUAACUGGUACUCCAUGCCGCACAUUUUUAUAAGCUGAAACCUUCUCCCUCUUGCCUCUUGAAGUCACCGCGGUACGAAGAACAAUUAAUACGACGAGAGACGCAGCGAUUGCCAAAUAUUCAACGUGGCGAUCAGGUAGAGAAAUCUGCUCCAAUCAAGCCCAGUAAUACGCAGAACAACACUCUUUUGAUGCUUUGCUAGCUUCCAUGAAACGAUACUAGCAAUGGAAUCUGCAGGGGGAAUUAAUGGCGAGAAGAAGAGGGUGAGGGCUGCUGACGAAGGCGAUGAUAGUAACCGUGGAAAGCGAGUCUUACUCGGUUCAUUAAGUAUUUGCUACCACCGGCAAACGAAGGUCACCGGAUACCCGUCUCAUCACGUUAACUCGGUUGUUGCAAUGGUUGGAAAUGCUCACUGCACAUGAUAGAAAACUCCACACAAUAAACAAAAGAGACCAACGAGAAGAAGAGAGAGAGAGAGACUUCAGAUAAUUGACCUAAUAAGUCAGAUGGAUCCAUCAAACGUGCAAUUUGCAUCGUUAAGAGACGCAUUUUUCUACGUGGUUUCUUGGAAGGUCGUGUAUUCACGUGAUCUUAUCAUUAUAAUAUAUCAGUCAAUUCUUAUAUAUAUAUAUAUAUCCUCUUUGUCCCAACUACUAUUUCUUUGAAGCUUCUUCCUCCCUUCAGGCUCUUACAACACACACCUUGCGGUCCUUCCUUUCCUUAUUGUAUUAUAUUGAGAUCGUCAUAUAACAAGAGGUGGAGUUCUCAGGGAAUUCACAUCUCAAGAAAGUCUUGAGAUGUAGACGGUGCUUCUUCUCAUCUCUCACGGCACAAAGACUGGUCCAACAUAUCAGCGCAACCAGGCGUUUUGCUGACGGAAGUAGACCGAGAAACCAUUUCGUAUUCACAUGCAUAUCCUGAUCGAAUGGACCGGAGGCAAGACCUUCAAGUUAGGGGUCUUCUUUGUCCAACGCCGUCGUUGAAGUUGCAGAAAAGGCCACCGCAGCUGCUCUUAUUUUCUCGUUGGUUUCUGUGACCCAUUAAGCGUUCUGUUUCACGUUCAAACUGUGUGCUUCUCGGUAAUUGAUGUCGGAGCUUUUCAGCCGCGUCGGUGAGCUGGUGGAACCAUUGUGCUCUCUCGUGUUGCUCCGUUGCUCCGCAGUCUAAGGAGUACACAUCAAGACGAAUUGACCAAAGUCGGCACAGCAGGCGUUCGUUGAAAAGGGAUUAUCUUAUGAGCAUAUUGGUUGAUGAAGAUGCAUUCGAUGCGUAAUGCACAACGUGCUCCAAUUGCGUUAAUUAUGUUGUUGGAUUUAGAAUAUGCCAUCUAUCGAAGACCUUUUAGUACAUGUUACGUCAUAAUCUAGUGGCGUAAAGAGAAUGCUAAUUCGGAACCAAUCGAUGCCUCGUUCUAUGUUUGUCUCUCAUUGGUGUCGAGUCCUAUAAAACUACGUCAAAGUAUUAUAAAGCCGAAAGCACUCACUGAAUAAGAGUUUUUCUUUGAAUUUAGAUACACAUUUGAAAAAACCUUUUAUAGUGUAGAUAUAAUAUUAUUAUGCUCGCAAACAAAUAAUUUCACAUAUUACUUAGCCUUUAUAGAAUCGUGUUACAUCAAAUCUAGGGAACGUGGACAUUGUUAGACUACGUGGCUCUAUCUAAUUAGAUAAAGUAUAAAAAAGAAAUUCAAUUAUGAUAGGAUUAAUGAUUUUAUUUUUAUUGGAGGAAAUUUUUCUAAUUGCUUUUCAGGACCAUUUGGUAUAUCUUAUAAAAUGAUAGGAUCUCUUAUAGACAAAACAUUAAAAUUAUAGAUCUAUUUUCAAUCUCCUUGAGUCGUUAUUUCAUCACUCAUAGUGUUACGGUGAAUAAUAUAAAGAAAGAAAAAGACAAAUAUAGUUAUCCUUGUAGAUCAAUAAUUUUUAAAUUCGAUAAUAAUACAUUUAUAGAUCAGAUAAAAAAAUUUUAGAUGACAUCGAAAGGUAUACAAUUAUGAUCUUGAACUGAGAUAUCGAUAAUGCUGAUGUAUUGACCACUUCAUUAUUUUCUUCUCAAUACACAAAAAAAAAUAUAGUAAUUCAACGAAGAAUCCGCGUAAAUAUACAAAUGACCAAAGCUAAUUUUCAAGGUGGAAGUUCCGUAUUUGAAGUCUUGAAAGGCCAUAUGCUAGUCUUUGUGUAUACCAUCACACGCUAUUCCGACUUUUUCCUGUGGGAACAGCGAGGCACGUAAGAUGACGUUUCCGUCUUAUCGUCGUCGACGACCAAUGCAUUAGUUUAGGGCGGUGCAUGAAACGGUCCUCUGCCUCCGACGACCACACGAUGACCAGAUCCACCGAUGGUUGGAGCAGCACCCAAGUCACACAGACGCUUGAUUACUAACCCCACUCCAAACCUUGGACAUUCGCUUCACUUUGUCCGUGAUCCGACCUUAAAGAUCAGGGUUAGAGUUUCAAUCGAGAGAGCACAGCAGCUAAAGAGGACCCAAAGAUGAUGAGAACAUCAGUCGCGACAAAAUGAGGAUAUUGGGAAAGAAAAAGGACAAAAAGAAGAUCUGUCACAGCUGAUUCUUGGCACCUCGGAUCGAGGGAUAGAUUUGUCGUCGAUUGACUUUUCGGCCUCAGGUCAGUUUGCCAGUUAAUUCCAUGCACGACGGUCGCUGCAAUCAAUCUCAGCUAAUUAGGGUCGAAGAAGGAAAGGCGGGCCUCUGGUGUGUCCAUGCCAGUCAACGAAGCGAUGGAGGUCGUCGUCGUUUCAGGUGAGGAGCGUCGAAGAAUCCAAGGCAAAGCGAGCUCUUUGCCUUCGCUACCUGCACCCCCGGGAAUGUCUUUACUUGCUUUUUGAAUGACUUCAGAAAGCAUCACCUCUUUCGAGUCCAAAAGUCACAACUUGCUGGUACAAAAGUCACCGGUUGCUUCACAUCGACGGGGACGGAUGAUGGGCAGAUUCAACAGACCACCUAAGCACCCCUAUCUCGUGGUAAUACUACGUGCGUUCGAGAUGGUGAUGACGACGACGAUCCGUGUGGAGGAGUAGUUCUUACUGUUCACGCAAUGUCCUUUCCGUGUACUCUUCUCUCUCUCUCUCUUCCUGAAAGGGUCAAAGCUCUAAAGAACGGGGAGAUACGACCGCUGCAAACGAUGAGGUCGCGCUGCGUUCCACGACGCAUCCCACGUGGCCGCCUGUGAGUGGGUCAAACAAGUGGAGCUCCCGCCCUUUUCCCAUUGAGCUCCGCCGAGGGAGGGGUGGACAUGGGAGCACGGGAUCCCCGUCCCGAAGCAUGCGUUGGAGGAUGAUGCCCACAUUCUUCGUGAGGGUGAAGUCGGUGUUUGCUGUCUGGGUGAGAUGCCGUAGAAAAACAGAGAACGGUGGGCCCAGUCAAAGGAGUUGACCUGUUCUUCAAGUAAUCUCGCGCUCGCUCGCUUUCACUCUCACGUGGAAUCCGCCAGCCCAAUCGGAGGUGGUGAGACGCGAUGCGGUCGCAUUGAAGCGGUCACAUCGAAGCGGUCGCAUCGUCCCUGGAAACCUCUCGGAAUCCUCCUCCACUGACGCACGACCUGAUGUCAUCGUUACUCCCCUCCAAGUCCUCUCCCCGGCCUUUAUAUUGCCCUCCCCGUCUCGGCGAUUAAAGACUUCAGACCUCUUUACCCUCCUCAUCCUCCGCCCCGUCCCCAUCCCGCUCUUCCUUCACUUCCAUCUUUCAUUCAAUCCAGCUGCGAUCGUUUGACGAUCCGUAGUUAUAUGGAUAAAAGUGGUGGUACGGGAGUGCUCACCUUGGACACAUCGGCUCCUCUUUUCCUCGCUUCUUCUCUGAGCUACGGCGGUGGUGCACUCAAGCGAAAGCAGCCCAUGGACUCCAGCGGCCACCCUACGGUCAGCACCGGCAUCGAGUUCCCGAUCUGCCUCAACCCCCGCAGAGAUGUCCGGACGAUGUUGCUGGCGAAAGAUGAGGUGAGCAACGACGACCGCGUUGCUGUGGGUGAGGUGGAUUUCUUCUCGGGUGAGAAGAAGAAUUCGAGAAGCCUGGUGGAGACAGAGCUGGAUCUCAAGGUGCCGAGUCUUAGUAGUAUCAAGAAGGAAGAUCUCACCAUUCAGGUUCGUGAUCACUGGACCCGUAAUUCUACAUUACUUCGUCGGAAAAGAUUCUUAGAUUGUAUGACGUUGAUUCUUCUUGAUGUAUUUAGACUCGAUUGCACCUUCAAACUCCCAACACGGCCAGUGAUCGGUCGACAGUGGACGACGGGUCGUCGAAGAAUGAGGAUGAUAAAGAAGGCAUGAAUGAGGUUAGAGGUUUUGCCUGACUGAAGGAUCAUCCAAUUUCUAAUCGUCCAGAACUAAUAGUUCUGAAUUUGCUUGACUCAGCUGGCCGCCAUGCAAGCGGAGGUGGCACGCAUGAAGGAAGAGAACCAGAAGCUGAGGGCAGUUCUCGGCCAAGUGACCACCAGCUACAACUCCCUACACAUGCAUCUCACCACACUGAUGCAACAGCGGAACCAACGAGAGACCGCAACCCCGCAAGCACAUGAGGUAAGAUGGAUCGUAUCGGUACGAAGAAACCCAAUUCCAAUCUAUUAGAGCAAUCGAGCCAAUCAGCUUAUUCAAAUCCAGGCUAUGGUGGAGGAAAAGACUGAUGCCAAAGAUCGCGACCAUGGAGGAGUGCUUGUCCCGAGGCAGUUCAUGGAUCUCGGCCCAGCAGCCGACGACGAACAAACGUCGGACUCGUCGACGGCAAGCCCCGAUCGAUCCGCCUCGCCACCGGGAAACGCUGAAGUAGGAUCGGCAGAACAGAGCUGGAACCCCUAUAAGGCUCAAAAAUUGAACCCCACAAAGCCUGCUGACCAUGCCCAAGAAGCCACCAUGAGGAAAGCUCGUGUCUCUGUUCGAGCUCGUUCGGAAGCGCCCAUGGUAAGCUUAGGACCCUUAAUUGGAUGUCUACCUACGACGAUGCACCAAUCUGUCGAGUACAUAAGACUCUGAAUUCCUUGCAGAUUACUGAUGGAUGUCAAUGGAGGAAGUAUGGGCAGAAGAUGGCGAAGGGAAACCCGUGCCCGAGAGCUUAUUACAGGUGCACCAUGGCAGCCGGUUGUCCCGUCCGCAAGCAAGUAAGCGCCCAUCUCCUCGUACCGCUGUUAGCAUGAACAUUAAGCACAUAACUCUCGCUGAUGCACUGCAUUCUCCGAUUAGGUUCAACGGUGUGCCGAUGAUCGUUCGAUACUGAUAACGACAUACGAGGGCACUCACAAUCAUCCGCUCCCACCGGCCGCGAUGGCCAUGGCGUCGACCACCUCUGCCGCAGCGUCGAUGCUCCUCUCCGGGUCGAUGUCGAGCACUGACGGACUGAUGAACUCGAACUUCUUGGCAAGAACCAUCUUGCCGUGCUCGUCGAACAUGGCGACCAUCUCCGCGUCUGCUCCGUUCCCGACCGUCACGUUGGAUCUCACCCAAAACCCGACGAACCCUUUGCAGUACCAAAGGCCACCUGCCGGCCCGUUCCACGUCCCCUACCCUGGCGCCGCUCCGGCCUUCAGUGCGCCUUCUCAGCCCCCGUCCCUACCGCAGGUCUUCGGCCAGACGCCACACAACCAGUCGACGUUCUCAGGGCUUCAAAUGUCGCUGGAGAUGGCAGCCGCCCAGUUCCCACACCCAAAGGCGCAGCCAGUCAUGCCACCCUCGAUGGCGGAAACGGUGAACGCAGCGACCGCUGCCAUAACUGCCGACCCGAACUUCACGGCCGCGCUGACUGCCGCCAUCAAGUCCAUCAUCGGCGGCAAUCAUCAGACCGUCAACGGCAGCAAUCUUAUCAUCAACAACAACAACAUUAUUCCCGAUAAAUCUUGCAGCUAGCCCUGCAGUUGCAAUUUUCCGGCUACAGUUGGUUGCUGUUGAACAUACAUCGCUCCUUCCCUUUUUCCCUUCGUGAUCAUUCUUUUACAUAUUCAUUUGUUUGACGGAGAACUAGAAGACCAUGUAAUCAUACGUGUUAUUUGGGGCGGUGCAAGAAAACAGAGAACUGCAUUACUUCCCCUUCUUUCCCCUGUUCUCUUCUUCUUUCUCGAGUGUGGUUGGCAUUUUCGCAAAAGGGAGGUGUGCGGGGGUUGGUGCAAUCCUGCGACCCGGUCCUCCUCGCUUACCUCUUCGUGUGGGGCUCUUCGUCGGCGGGUCAACGAUUGCGUCCAUGCACGUGAAAACACCCAGGCGACAGAAGAAAAAGAAGAAGAAGAAGAAGGCCGACAUCACUGGCAAUUGGACCCGUUAAACCGGUCUGACACGGUAUUAAUGAGUUGGACCGGAUUGAAGCCCUUUCCGGUGUCAACGAAUUCCGAGUUGACUCUUUAGCCACCUUUAACUAAAAUAUUAUACAAAAAUAUCUUUUAUAUUAUAUAUAUGUCUUAUUUCUUAUCGGAAAUAAUGACUGUCUGCAUGAGCAAAUGGGAGGAAAUGGCUAAUUGAUGAGGGAACUUAUUUGCUCGAGCAUUUUAAGAACUUCCGCCAUAGCCGGCCUCUUUGAGGGAUCCGAUUCCAGGCAUUUCUCUGCAAUGCGGAAGGCUUCCUUCACCUCUUCGGUAGGAAAACAGCUGAGGGUGCUGUCGACUGCUUGCUCUUGUCUUUCAUCUUUGACGACGUCUUUUACCUGUUGCACAAUGCUUCAAACCACCAUUAGUUUGACUUGGAUCGAUGUACACCAAUUUAGAGAGUUUGGAUCGUAGAAGCUUUACCCAGGUUACCAGCUUCGCGCCUUCUUCGAUGAAUGAUUCAUCUGUGGGCCUUUUACCGGUUAGAAGCUCAAGCAAGACCACACCGAAGCUGUAAACAUCUCCCUUUGUUGUUGCUCUCCCUGUGUCGAAAUAUUCUGAUGAAACAAGCAGAGUCAUUGUCAAAUGGAGACAGGGGUUGAAGAAGAAGAUGAUGGUUGCUGCAGAUUACUUACCAGGGGCAAGGUAACCAAAUGUUCCAGCUACAAUCGUUGAAACAUGGGUCUGAUCUGGGUGCAUCAGUGUUGCUAAUCCGAAGUCAGAAACCCUUGCCUCCAUGUUCCGGUCCAGCAGUAUGUUGCUUGAUUUGAUGUCUCUGUGGAUUAUGUGAGGUAUGCAGUCAUGAUGCAGAUAUGAUAUGCCUCUUGCUGCACCCACUGCAAUUCUGUACCUUGCAGGCCAGUCAAGAGGUUUUUGUUUGCUCGAUUUGCCUGCAUCACAAACUUCUUGUCAGCAUCUGAUUGCCUGAAACCUAGAUCGGUAGAAAGAGCUGUAGAUCACCAUGAAGCAGAGUGUCCAAGCUUCCAUUUGGCAUCAGCUCGUAUAUGAGUAGAUUAAACUGUGCUGCAAUGUAGUACCCAUGGAGACUGACAAUGUUCCUGUGCUUUAUGUCACCCAUGGCCUGCAGCUCUCUUUCAAAUCCACGGUCUGUGUCUUUGUUUCCCUUGUUCAAUCUCUUUACAGCGAACGCAGUCUUUUCGUCUACGGGCAACCUGUAGACUGUGCCGAAGCCUCCGGAUCCUAUUAUGUCCUUGUUUGAUAACUUCAUCGUCUUCUUCAUCAAAGCCUUGGAACUCAGAGAUUGUGCUGCUGGAGACCUGAACACCACCAUUCUUCCGCCUGCUAAAAGGCAAGUCAGUGCUCUGCUUCACAUUCAACAACGUCGAUCGCUCUAUAACAGAGUUGCCUAAACGGGAUUGACCUGAUAAGGAAUCUUCGAUGAUUCUGCGUUUUCGUGCCCAUCUUUUGUAGAGCAGAAAAGAAAUAAUGAUCUUUGACAUCACAAACGCAAGACAGCAGAUCGUAAUAUAAAGUGCAAUGACAGGAGAUCCAGCCAUGUCUCGCAAAGUACCUAUUGAUGAUUCAGAUCGUCUUCUUUGAGGUUGAGUAGGGAAAGAACUGCAUUGCACCCAUGAAAGCUUUCAAAAUCAAACGUGAAGCAGAGUGCACUCACCGAAAUGGAAGUAAUAGUAUCGGUACCUUUGGACAAGACUCGAAGAAGAAGCUUGCGAAACGACAAAUGAUGAUGAGUGUCAAUCAUGGAGUUGGAACCAGGUGAUAAGUACAAGCAGGGGGAUCUCCGGAAAUGGCAGCUAUCAUUGGUGACAUGUUAGGUGGAAGAGCCACACGAGCCUACCUGUGAAACCUGUUGGAUCUUGUGAAACCUGAGCUACCACAACCUUCCCUUUCUUCGUGUACUGGAUCCUGCUACGGUGGAGAAGAAGGACUGCACGUGAGACCCGUGAAUAAUAUGGAUCAUUCUGAAUCAAAGAUAUACCCAAAAAUAAUUGCUUUGUCACAGAAAUGACAAAUCCUAUGGCUCACAUUUCUUAGUUUGUCUGUUUUUGGAGGCGGAUUGGAGAAUCUUUCAUGAACUGUUGCAUGUCGCUAGCAACACGUAAUGGAUGAGCAGUGGUUGGGAUGCUCUUAUCACUUCCGAUCCUUUGGUGACUGUGUCACCAUGUCAUCUGUGGGACUCUUCGUUCAGAGACUGCAUCUGUCGUUCCUCCUGUCUAAAGCAGAGGAGAAUUGGUUCGUAACAGAGGCCUCUGCUUCCAGCACACUGAAUUAAUACAGUGAUGACAACUCAAUUCUUCUUCUUCUUCUUCUUCGUACUCAAUGUUUUUACUCAAUGUGCGCACCGAAGGGUGCAUCGCACGCCGACAACCUCUGAUUGUCGGAAGCUUCACAGUUUUCCUACCGAAGGUGAGAAGGCAGGAUGACACAGGCCUGAGAAGGAGAUUGGAAGAAGAAUGACCAAAACUAGAAACAACCAGCUGUAUCCAAUCGUACCUGCUACUACAGCGAUGGUUCUGCAAGCUCAUGUUGGCCUGGAUCCAGUUCUUGUCCAGUAAACCACAUGUCGUCUACUUUGAACCUCCACUAAGUCUGAUGCCGCUAAAGUCAAGAUUUCCUCCUGAGACCGUGCAGGGAGGGCACCAUAAUGGCUUUCCAUGCAAUAGCUCACCUUGACAAGGGUUAUCCAUAGUUUGGUCUCAUCAUCCUUCACCCCAUUAAUCUGAGAAACCAAGGAAAAAAGGUAGAGAAGAUGUGAACUGAUGUCUGCUUUGAACGGUCACUGUGUACUUGCUUCUAAAAGCUGAAAGGGAAAGACUUUGAGCAGUGCCAGUUGAAUCAGAGUCAUCCCUCCCCAGCAGAUGCUUUAGUUCAUAUUUAUAUCCUUAUAUAGGACCAGCAGACUCUCUCAUACGUUGCUUUGCUUAUGUCCACUUCUAGUGGACUCAGAACGUGCUGAAGCUCUUCCAGUGAUGGUCCCAUGGAGCUCUUCAUGUCCACUUCUAGUGAAGCUCUUCACACAGUACAGUGAUGGUCGCAUGGAAUAAUAGUAGCUUUUUGAAGGAGAUAAAUGCCGACGAUAUAAAGCAAUCUGUGUGGCUUCAGGUACUUCGUAUCGCAGCAGCACUUUCAUGCAUAUGUCUGCAUACGUACUGCCAAACCUAAGUCCACUAACUUUGUUCAUGGUUAUCCAGUGCAGCUGUAUUCAUCUUUCUUGGAAGUGGAAUGACCGGAAUGGCUAAUGCCCAAAGCUUGGGAAGUUGAUCAACACAAACCUCACUGGACUAUCACUGAGCCUUGGUCGGAAAAGGUGGAUUAUGUCGUCAAGAGGAAAGAGAAAAGAAGGUGAAGGAUCAAAAGAAGUGGAUGCAUAAAAGAAUGAUUAAUAUGGAGCCUUUGAUGAGCCCAAUCACAUGACAAUCUCUGUUGAGAAUCCAAUAAACUAAAAUGGUGUGAGUUUUUGAAGUGCAUAAUGCGGUCCCACAUAUAGCUUCUUAAUGCGGUCCACCAAUAUUACGUUACCCACCAGUGUCGAGUUGCAUGCGGGUCGAUGACUCGUCCGGUCAUCCACUCAGCCGCCUUCCUCCUCGUCUCGAAUCGAUUCCCACUCCCUUUUGCCCUCUCUCUCUAUCUCUAUCUCUCUCUCUCCCCACUUCCCUUCCUCUCUAUAUAUAGACAUAUACUGUGCUACAUGAAGAGAAUACGAUGAUCAAAGAUGGAGCAAAGCGAACACCACAACCCCCACCAAGUCCAACUACAGAUCCUUACGACAUCUCCGAUUGCCAUUGCUGCGGCCACCGCCACUGCUUCUGAGAAGGUUCUCUCGAAGCUCUCUGUACUGACGAAAUUCCACGCGGGAUACUUCCGCAUCAGCCUUUCCCUGUGUGGCCAGGCUUUGCUGUGGAAGACGCUCAGCGAGCCGACCACUGACGCCAGCGCUCUCCGACCUGUCCUCCGUAGGUUGCCCUCCGCUGCCUUCGUCCUCCUCUGGUCCCUCGCCUUCCUCACCCUCGUGGCCCUCUGCCUCCUCUACGCCGUGCGCUGCCUGUUCCGGUUCGGCAGCGUGCGCGCUGAGCUCCGGCACCACGUCGGCAUGAACUACCUAUUUGCACCCUGGAUAUCUUGGCUCCUGCUCCUCCAGUCCACGCCCUUCCUCCACCCCAAGACGAAUUGCUACCUCCUCCUCUGGUGCGUCUUCUCUAUCCCCAUCCUCGCGCUGGACCUCAAGAUCUACGGCCAGUGGCUCACCAGAGGGAAACAGUUCCUCUCCGUGGUGGCCAACCCGACAAGCCAGAUCACAGUCAUCGGCAACUUGGUCGGGGCACGUGCGGCGGCGCUGAUGGGAUGGAAAGAGAGCGCUCUGUUCAUGUUCUCGCUGGGCGUUACGCACUACCUCGUGCUCUUCGUCACGCUGUACCAGAGGCUGCAAGGGAGCGACUCCCUGCCCGCGAUGCUACGUCCGGUGUUCUUCCUCUUCUUCGCCGCGCCGAGCAUGGCCAGCUUGGCCUGGGAUUCCAUCAGCUCCACUUUCGACAUCUCCUGCAAGAUGCUCUUCUUCCUCUCCCUCUUCCUGUUUGCUUCCCUGGUAAUGAAAUGUCUUAACUAUCACUAGCUUAUUGCCAAAGUUUUCAGUUUGGUGAAUCUUUUCAACAUAAUUCAGUAAUUAGAGAUAUAAGCACCCAUCAUCCUGUGGCAAUAAUCACUCUAAUCGAUAUAGUUUACUCUGUGAGAACAAGAUAAAUCGUAUCUUUAUUCCCCACUAAUGAAGCUUGAAAACAAGGUUUUGUGGCAUGGAACUAAUGCGCAUGCACAGCUUAGACGGCAAGCAAUAAGAGUGAAAUGGUCAAGAGAGAGAAAGAAGAAGAACGCGAGAUUCCUGGAAUGGGAGAUAACAACCUGGAUUACAUGUUAGACGGACUGCUUGCCUGGUCUCGUAACAUACAUGCUCACCUUUUAAGGAAGAGGCAAGCCACAAAGGAAGCACCACCACGGCACCACAUCUCCGUAUCCUAUGGAGUAAAAAGUAUGCGUCGGCGCUUAUUGCAUUGCAUGGCCGCUCACGCCACCACGUCACAUCCCAGUGGCUACGAAUCCGUCACAAACUCCUCCGUCUGCGUAAGCUUUGACGGUGGCAUGAGAUCACAGGGAGAUGGCUUUGUGCUGCAGGUAUCGCGGCCGGCGCUGUUCAGGCGGUCCAUGAGGCAUUUCAGCGUGGCGUGGUGGGCGUACUCCUUCCCGCUGACCGUGCUGGCGCUCGCCGCCACCGAGUACGCCCAGGAGGUGAAGGCGGCGGCGGCCAACCUACUGAUGCUCGUCCUCUCGGUGCUCUCGGUGCUCGUCACCCUGGCGCUGAUGGUGUUGACGGUCAUCAGGACCGGCGAUCUGCUGCCUCGCGAUGAUCCGUUCGUGUGCGCCACAUCUGCUGCUGGGGGAGCAACUCGUUGACAACAUUCUUCCUUGUAUUCACGUACAUUAAUACGGACAUGAGAAUUGAUCGCAUCGUGUCUCGUGUUCUUUCUUAUUUAUUCAAUCCUUUUAGUACCUAAAUUUACCGAUCUGUGGUUGCCACUGUUUGAAUGAAAUCAUGCGUUUACUUAUUACAGCUUGCAAUUAUUUGUAUGUCAUGUAAAAUACUAAAAUUACUGAUUUAAUAAUACAUGACAUAAAUUGAACAAAACGAUUACACUUUAGGUGGUUCGAAUCCGAGCCUAACCUAAUCGUCGCACGGUCGAAUGCGAUAUGUACCAAAUCUGGGUAAGGUUAGGGCUGGAAUAUUUCCGCCGAACCAUUGGUCGGAUUGGGUCAGAAUUGACCCACAACCGAAGUCGAGCCACCUGGAAAGCAACCUUCAACCGACACGACCUGUCUAUCUCAAUUCGUUCACGUGAGUCGAUAAAAAUUAGGCCGGACCGCCCGGUUGAACCGGUCUGAUUCGAUCAAACAAAACUCCGGUUCGACCAGCUUUAGACCUAAUAUUUUGUUGGAUAGCGUGAGAGCAUCAUAUGGUCGCCACUUAACAACUAACGGACGGUGCUUCGCGAUGCCGAAGCGACGCCUCGGAUAUGGGGUGGUAUUGGGUGCGGCCCAACAUCAACUCGCAGAUAAGGCUCAACCCGGUCGAAUUGCAUGUGAACCAUGAAAGGUAACCCGGCCUGCCCGAAAUUUGAUGCAAGGAUGUUGACCAGUAAUCGUAGGUUAUUGCGACAUUAAGAGAAAGAUAUAGGAGAAACCAGAGGGAAAAGACCACUACUAAGAUCUAACGAGACCAAUAGGAAAUCUCAAAUUGGUGGAAGAAUACACCUCCGUCUUACAGCUCACAAAUUGCCGCUCUUCUCCCUCUGCUACUUGUACAAAGCUCGUGUCACAGUGACCACUGUUACUAUUGAUCACACCAAAUUCGUGUGAACUGUGGAAAGAAUCCACCGUAUCCAUAUGAUGAAUACUGCUAAGCUUGCUGCCGUCACCACAGACCGUUAUCUCACCGUCUUUGGUGGCAUCGGCCGGACAACUUGGGAAGCCGUGGCAGUCCUCGCCGUCGCUCCUGACCGCCACCCAGUUCUCGUCCCAUGUCCAAUUAGGACUGCUGCUGCUGCUGAUCAGAUGUUGGAUCCUCGCCGACGGUUCAUCGUGGGAUGGGUGCUCGGCUGAUUGCUCGGAAAAUGACUCCCAGAAUGCCUGGUCGAGAGUGCUCUUUGGCGAGGCCCAGAAGCGAUCUGAAUCUGGUUUAGACGAAGGAUUCGUCCGGGAAGAAGCCACGAAUUCGUGCCGGAGGAGCUGCUCUGCCGUCCACCGCUCGCUGGGAUCCCGCUUGAGGCACUUGCUCAAGAAGUCCUUUCCCUCUGCCGAGAGCCAGCUCGGGAAGUCCGGCACGACCCGGGAGAAGGCGAUCCGAUGAACCACGCCGAUGGCGUUGGGAACGUCAGGCCAUGGCGGACACCCGGUGGCCAUCUCGAUAACAGUGCAGCCUAGAGCCCACACGUCGGCCGGAGGCCCCUGCUCUUCUCCCCUGGCGACCUCCGGGGCCAUGAACAUCGGCGUGCCCCUCAACCCACGACAUUCUCCGCCGCCACGAUCAUCUUCGUCGAUCAAGCUUGCGCACCCCAAGUCGGCAAUCUUGGCGCGCCCGUCCGACCCAAUCAGAACGUUCCGGCCUUUGACGUCGCAGUGGACGACGCCUUCCGAGUGAAUAUAAGCCAAACCCCGCAGGAUCUGAUAUGUGUAGGACCGAAUUGCGGCCUCAUCGAGCCGACCUCCAUGCCUCACGAUCUCGUCCGACAGCGAGCCUCUCGGAGCAUACUCCAUGAAGAGAUUGUAGUAGAGACCGCCGGCGAGCCUGUGUGAGCUGACGUCGAACCCGAAGCAAGAAACUACAUACGGAGAACCGAGAGAGGACAGAAUCCUCUGCUCCCUCUGCAGGACAGCGGAGCGAGAGAGCUCCACGGACUUGACCGCGAAGACCUCUCCAGAAUCCAAAUCCGUAGCCAACAAGACGGUGGCGGACGAGCCGCGGCCGAUGACACGACCUCGGCGCCACCCACCAAUUCCCAUCUCGCGAUGCGACAGCGAAGAGGUGGACGGAAGCGAACAAGAGGCAGAGGAAAGAGCCUUUUGUAUGAAUGAACUCCUCGGGCAAGAGAUUAGAUAGAUAUAUAUCGAGAGAAGGGGCGACAAAUAUUUCAGACUCCGUUGAGUGCGAGCUUUCUCUUUAGAUUCAGUACGUUUGGACUUCCUUGUCGCCAAGAAAUACUAAUCCAAAGGGUGACGCACGCCGCACUGCGCCACCUGUCCCUUGCUUCAUCCUACUGUAAACCGGCGGCCAGGCGUGAUAACGUUUCGUGUGACGAUUGGAGAAGCUCUUCUCUUUCCUUCUCCCACUUGAGUCUAUCCGCCUUAACUUUGGGAUUGCGUCACGAAAGUACCGCUCCAGAUGCUGCGUCGGCCACAACACCACAGCUUAGCUCGCCGGAUUCGAGCCCACGCGGCCGGCUGCAGUCCACGGGACUCGACUUGGACCAUCUCAACUCGAGAGAGCGCGAGGAAUAUUAUGUGGGCAUCUGCCAACAAGCCGACGGUUGCCUCACCUAACGAAUCUAGCAAGCGUGGAGGGCCGUAAAUGCCGUUAUACCAAAUGUGCCAAUACAUCAGCUCUUAGAUUUCACACCUCGAGCCAAGCUAUUGCUUCGCAAGCUCAACAAGUACACGUGCUCCCCCUGUUACAGUCUCUCGUAGAAGGUGGGUUCACCUGUGCCACCAAACGAGCACAGUGACAAAUCCAUUCGGCACACACCAAUUUCUUUGGUAUGUUGAGUGCUAAUCCAAAUAUAAUAGGAUCAUAAAGGCAAAAGGGGGCAGCUCAUCGCUUGCAAGCCAAUCAUCCCAUCCCCCCCUUCCCUUUUUCCUCCCGUCUCAAGCCACCCCCCACCAUCAACACGAGGGAAAGGGAUGCAUGCCCAGCUUCGAGAUGCUCUACCUGCUUCCUUCAUGGCUUUGCCGACACGCUUCCCUUUCUCGCUCGCUCAACUAUCCGCCGGUGGAGUAACGUAGGACGUAGCUUUCGUUUAGUUAGGAGUUGGACCUCCGUUCAUCAUUCGAGCACACUAGGCUCGGUUUCCAAGCAUAUGGUUUUGGACCAUGGGAGGGAGAUGAGUGAGCUGCCAUGACGUCGGUUCUCGGUGUGGUGUGGUAGGCCAUCGAACUCCACGCCUUUUUGGAAUUAAAUGACCAAGAAAAAGGAGUGAAUGCGUUUGGACGAGGAAGACGAGUUGAAAUCUAAUUCUGCUUAGAGAUUGAUCGUGGAAGGUUGUGGCUCCAGGAAUUGACACCGGUGUCGACAAGAUAUAUCAAGCGGGCAUCUUUAUUUAUGUCCUUGCGAAUUUUCCUCUAUUUAUAUCCUCGCUAUAGAUAGAGAUAAGAAUGAUGGAGAUAACGCACGUGGAAAUAUAUUUUGGGUAGGUCAUAAAUAUCCCGGCUUGCUUGGUUGGGUGGCCAUUUGUUGCGCCUCCGCGCAACCUCUUCUCCGUUCUCCCCGCGAAUCCCCGGCCCAACAAAACCCGCUAUCGAUGCCAUCCUCCUUCACUUCGCACCACUCCCUCCCUCUCCCUUCCCGAUGGCAUCGACGUCCUCCUCCUCCCUCCUCUCCCUUUCUUCCAUCAUCCACACCUGAAGCGACGCAGGCACACGUACCUGCCUCCGUUCCCGCGUGUCCUCCACCUCGUCAGUACUCUUCCUCUUUUGGCCGCCCAUGGAGUCCUUGUGCGACUUCUGUAGCGCCUAGCGUGGCCUCGUUUACUGUAACUCCAACGCAGCCCGCCUAUGCCUCCCCUGCGACGCGUUCAUCCACUCCGCCAACGCCAUCUCCCGCCGCCACCUCCGCGCCCUCAUCUGCGAUCUCUGCCUCGCCCGGCCCGCCUCCGUUCGAUGCCUAGACGACCGCAUUUCCUUCUGCCAGUCCUGCGACUUGGCCGGUCCUGAGGCCGGAGGCUGCGGCCCCGGCCACCGCCACCGACACCUGAGCUGCUACUCUGGUUGCCCCUCCCCGCACGAGCUAUCCGCAAUGUGGUCCUCACUGCUGGACCUCUCCGACAGCACUCUUCUUCCUCUUCGGAAGACGACGAUGACGACCACCAACCAGAAUUGCGCUUCGCGCAAUAGCUUGGCGGCCGGGGAGGCUGCGAGCACGGUUGGAAGGGCUGGUGUGUUUGGGGGUGACAAAGUUUCAUCCCCGUGUGGCUAUCGCUUCUUCUAUCUCGCCGAUUGUGUCACCUGAGUCCAGUGUGGUGCUUCCCUGUGGAUCAGAGCAACAGGGUUUCUUUCACGACGAGUGCAAUCCGCCUAAGGUUCUCUCUCUGACGACUUUGCAUCAAACGCACUGCACCAUUAAGUAUUUUUAAUUGCAUGUGAUGGACAGAUGAGAUUUCCAGCUUCCAGUAAUCUUGGGACAUGUGAUAACGACGAGCUUUGCAAAGGUUUCAGCACCGGCAUGGCUGGCUUCCACUUUCAAGACGGAACAGAGGCACUCGGCUGCCCACAAAACAAUACUACAAGCCCAUUUCAUGAUACAGGAUCGGAUGACUUCAUCACGGACAUGAAUUUAAGUGGUCACAUUGAAAGCGCAUUAAUCGAGGUUGUCUAUUAUUCUCAGAACUCUCGGUUCAUAUCAGCUAUUCCUUGUAUGGUUGACAUUUCCAAUGAUAUAUAUACAUAACGGGUGCAGACCUCACCUACAGACCAACAUGAUUGCAUGACUCUUCGGUCACCUGACACAUUUCAACUCGCCAAUGCUGGGCAGCCAGUGAACGGCAAUAGCAACAGAAGCGACAACCCAAUUUUACACACCGGAAAUAUCUGCCCAACUAUUUCUCUUUCUCUGUCAAACCUCACUGGAGAAAGCAGUGCUGAUGAUCACGAGGACUGUGGGGUAUCUCCCAUGUUCCUCACAGGUGAGUCAACAUGGGAUUCUAAUCCGGAACCCGGACAUCUGCAUCUGCAGGAGAGGAACGAAGCAAAGAUGACAUACAACGAGAAGAAUAGAAGUCGAAUGUAAGUUUCUUAUAUAAUGGACAUGCAGCUAAGUACAUGCCUAUCAGUAUGUAGCAGUUGGCAAUAUCUAAGUACGUGUGUUUUCUUGUAUUCGCAGGUUUGGGAAAUCGAUUACGUAUGCUUCACGUAAAGUUAAAGAUGAUACAAGAAAGCGCAUGAAAGGCGGGUUUGUAAAAGCUGAUGAAACUUGUGACUUCGAUCCUUGUCGAGCAGGAAGCAGCUGAAUCGGAUCAAGGGCAUCAUUUGUUUCACAACUUGUAUUCAGAUCAGGUACUGUAAAUUUGUGUUCUUCCUGCAUGGAGUUUCAGUGAUGAUCUUUUCCUGGUUAAUUUUGAUGGUACGGACAAAAACCAAAGACACUUGUUCGUGAAGAAUGUAGUAUUACCUCCAUUCAUCAGUCACAUAACCGAUGGAUCUUACAAAGACAUAACACAUGUAUCAUUUUAUGUAUGCAGGACCGUAUAGUAGGAUUGGUGCGUCUACAACCUUCUCGAGGAUAUUAUUCUUGGGAGUUGUUUGCAGACAGGAUAAUUUGUUUUUUUUUUCUUUCUUUUGUGUUUGUUUGAUUUUGUUUCCAUUCUUUGAACUCCAAAGAGUUCCAAAAUGUAUUGUUCCGAAAGGGGUCAAUCGAGAAUAAGUCUGCGUUUCAAUCACUCGCUGCCAGUUUGAUUAAGAGUUCUCAUGUCAAGCUUAUUAUAUGUAUUUUGUUUCCUUCGUUUACAAAUCUGAAUGCAAAUAAUGCAACCGAAGAACUGAAUAGAAUACAACAGGACAAGAAACUACGAAUGCACAGUGACGAUCGAUUCAUGCUCUAAGCAUAGCUGCACAUCCCGUACUGGCAGAAGCUACCCUUCUUGCACCGCUUCUUGCAGCCACCGCAGUUCUUGGGGUCGUACAUCACGUUGACGCAGCGGCCGCCGCAGCACGCUUGGCCGAACCGGCACUUCGUCCCGCACUGCCCGCAGUUCUGGUUGUCGCUCAUCACGUUCACGCACUGCCUCCGACAGCAGUCGGGACCGGGGCUGCCGCUGGCGCGACAAACCCUAGGGAACCUGUCGCAGGUCAUCGAGCCUCUCGUCGGAUUGUACUGCGCGAUCACGGAGUAGAUCCCCCGGGACAACGAGGCUGGUGCUGCUGCCGCCGGCCGCUCGUCCGCUUCCGCCGAGGAAACGGAGAGGGCGAGAGAUGUGGUCAUGGCCACAGCGAAUGCCACGACGAAGAAGAACCUCAUGGCCAUUAGGUGCUACGAGAGGUAGACGAAGAUGGUGAUGAGAAGGAGAUGGGAUGCCCGAUGGGUUAUUUAUAAGGGAGAAUUUGCAUGGACGUGUAAGAGAGGUUGGUCAAAGGUACAUUCUUCAAGGCAGCUGCUUCACGUAACCACGAGCAGGAGUUCAAUUCAUUCAAGCAAAUGGGAAGUUAGGCCUCUCGAUGGAAUCAGCUGUGAAAAGCUGAGGUAGCCCAUCUCAAGCUUCAACAGAUUGACAGGUUAAUCUGCCAUGCCAUGCAGAUAUGCACUCCUUCACUGAUUCCUCAUGUUCUUCAAAGUCCACGGUGUACGCCGCAGUUUGGCGUGAGGAAGCCGAGUUGGCGAGUCAUUGACUAUUGUGGCCCAUGCAAAGGAGGAGUUCCUAAUAGUGUUGACUUGAAAGCGUGGACCAUUCAAUCCAUCGGGUGUUUCCAAGUCGAAGGCCCAGAAAUGUCAGCAUCCGGUGGCUUCUUCUGGCGCACCGGACUCGUGGAUUUGUGUUGGAAUUGCACCGAAUUCUUGACUCCAUUUGGGAUGCAUUAGGCCAACGUCAAACUGGUAUGCUCAUCACCUUUUGAAUGGCCGAGUGUGUGCUACGGGGGAUGUUCAAAGCUGUGGAUCGCAGUGCGAGAGGAACAGAUUAAGCGUAGACAUUAGUAGUGAAAGAAAGAAUUAUCGUUGGCGAUUUCUUCCAUCCACUGUAUCGUCUAUUUCACGUCAGUAGCAGCGGUUGUUCAUCGAUGGAUUCAAUGCACCUGUAGAUGCAUUGUUCUUAAUGAGAUAUGAUCUCAUGUGUACCAAAGAUGCAUUGUUGCCAUCUACGAUGACUUGUUAGAUAAUACCAGCUUCGAUUGGAGCUAUAUGAUGCCUAAUGAUGCGAUCAGCAAUGGUGCAUCUAAUGUUACAACCAAAUGGAAUUUACAGGUCCACUCUGCAUAUUAAACCUCGAGACAUGGAAGAUGUUCAAACAUGAGUUCCUGCAUGAGAUCCAUCACUUAUAUAAUAAUAUAUUGCACAUGAACUUUGAUGUCAUUAGCUUCCAUGCUGCAAGAAGCUCGUCACUUUCAGGUCAUAUAUCUCUGAGAACAACGUUUUGAUGCGUACGUAGUGAUGAGUGAUGAUAAUAAGGGUUUUCACGAUCAUGACGAUGGCCAUGGCUUUGAGAGCACCUCUUGCCUUGUGACGAUGAGAUAAUUAGGCGUGCCAGACAAGCAUAAUAUUUAUAUAGUAUGGACACUCAUUAGAACGAGAAAGAAACUUCACUAAGUUAUUUCACGAAGGCUCGUUAUGAAUUCCCAAACUCUUUGUGAGCUUAUUUUGUCCCCCAUAAUGAAAUAUUAACUUAAUCAUCAGAAAGGUUUUAUUAGACGCAUUCCUGCUCUAAGCUUUAUGAAAUUGUCCGAAGCAAGCUCAAGAUGACCAACAUUAUACAAGCACGAUUGUUGUACUAUCCAAAAUGAUAGAAAACGGAUGGUAUUAUUAAUCCAACUCAAUAUUGAAAAAAAAAUCUAAUAAGAAAAUUUCUGACUCACAAACAUAAGUCCUCUUCUUACAUUCAACAUUAUCAUUGUUAUUAUCUCGCGACAUUGCUGCUCCUUCGUGAUGUUACAGCCACCGCUGUUGCUUCGUGAUGUCGCUACCAACAUCAUUGUCGUAGCGUUUAUUUUUCUUCGUAGGUAUAUUUUCAUAUCAUCUUUUUUUGUUUUCUCUUCAAUCGCUUUCUCUUCUUCUCAUUUAUCAUCUUACUCUACUUGUCUUAUCUUUUCUCAUUCUCUUUUUUUCCGCUCCAAAACACCAAUACUUAAUCAUUCUAUCGAUCGAUUCGAAUAGACAAGCAAAAUAUGUUUGAUACCCAAAACGACAAUUCUUACUAACGAGUUCGAAUAAAACUCUGACAUGAUAUCUCUUUCCCACUUGAUAUCAUUAAAUCGAAUCAAAAUUUUAAUUUUGUCAAGGUGAAUUAAUGAUUAAAAUUUAUAAAUAAAAAAUUAUCAUAAAUACAUCUUCUUGUUUUUAGGAAAAGAGUCGGUACUAAGAGGGGGGUGAAUUAAUGCAACGAUAAAAUUACGUCAGUACAAAAAAUCUUCGUACGAUAAAAAUCGAUUUCGAUGGAAGAUGCGUAGUGAAUGUAAAGCAAGUUAAGAGGUUUGUAGUAAAGUAAAUUUUCUCAGAUAUAGAAAUGCAAAUUAGAGAAGAACGCGCCGAUUUUAUAAUAGUUCGGUUGUCGUGACCUACAUUCACUUCAUCGAUUUCUCUUCCGUCGAGGCCAUCGGCAUCCACUAUCGAUCUUCCUUUAUAGGCAAAGAUCAACCUCUUUCUUGUAGCUCUUUCUCCUUUUACUGGAUUUAGGAGAUAACCCUUAUACCUCCACUCACUCCUCUCUUAAACUAUUCUAACACUUAGAACUUUGAAAGGAGUUUCAGAUAAGAUUAUAUGAGAGAGGUAUUUAUAGGCUUUAAGUUGAUUCAAACUUGGAGCCUAAAAAUAUCUCAUCUCGGGUUUCCUGGGUUCAGGCGGUACCACCGCCAGUGUCAGUCUGACACUAACACUGCACUAGGCGGUACCACCGCCUGACAUAGUCUCAAAGACUAUACCACAACGGUGUCAUCUCUUGGGUCACUGUUUGGGCCUUUCAUUGAGCCUAACACAGUCCUUACAUGACCCAACUGGCCCAUAAUUAGGUUGGCCCAAAUCCAAUCCCAAUUACAUGCUAACUACGAAAUCUAAGACACACUUAAGCUAAACAAGUCCCUAGGUCUUAGUUUUUUCUGGCGAUCUUCCGGCGAACUUCCGACGAUCUCCUAGUAAUGUUCCAACGGACUUCCGGUAAGCUCCUGGACUUCAUGACGAUCUUCUUGGCGAGUUCCGACAAGCUUCUAGACUUCUCGGCUGAUUCCUGCUGAACUUCCGACGAACGUCUGGACUUCCAACGAACUCUUGAACUCCUAACGAAAUCGCGUCAUUGACUCUGGGACUUCAUUUUACUUCAUGCCUUGCUAUCGCAGUUAAUCAUACACAUGUAAAAUACACUUCAAUCUAAACAAAUAUUACUAAGCAUGAAUCAUGUUGUUCGGCAUGUCAUUGGUCCAUCGACGCUUCGUUCGAUUAUUCGACGCAUCGUCCUCUUUUGUGCCCUAUUGCCCAAUCGGCCAGUUGACUCCGUAACUUCGAUAUUCUUGGCUCAAUAUCCACUCUUCUUGGCCCGAUGCCCGAAUCCAUGGCCCGAAGCCUUUUGUCGAUACGUCGACCGAUCCUCCGGCCCGAUGUACAAUCAUAUGACAUGUUUUCCUUCAGCCCAACACAAUUCUUUCUACUUUAAUUAUCUCAUCCUGAUCGAAGCAUCCAACGUCACUAAAAAUGCAGAUCAAAUCAUAAACACUUAUCAAUUGGUUUUAUCAUCAAAAUACGAGAUUCAACGCUUGUUACUCUACGCAUCAAGAAAUCAUAAACGAAUAUUCAACACUUACCGUUGUACGCAUCGAGAAAUCCAUAUGGUAAUGAUAAUAAUAAUAAAGCUAAUCAAUGAUAUUUAGGGUAUUAAUAUAAAUUUACAUGUUUUAAGAAUAAUUUAUCUCAAAAAAUACACAAAAUUUAAAGAAUUAUUCGAAAUCCUAAAAGACAAUAAAUAAUCUGAGUUAGCUCCACGUUAGGACUUGUAUAUCCUUUGAAUCAUCAUUUUGAUGGAAAUCACUAUAUGGGACUCAAAAUCGCAAUUCUAUAUAUAUAGGUUGACAGUAAAGAAAGAAUAUUUCCGAAUUCUGUAUAAUAAAAUACUUAUAUUUAGUUGAUCAAAGAGCGAUAUAAUUGGCACAUGGAUUCGUAACGGACAUUUCCGUUUCCCAAUUCUGCGCUUUUUAUGAUCGCAGGGUGGGAAGCGAAGAAGGUAGGAAGGACUCGAGUGGUGGAGCGAGGUAUAUGGAAUUCAGGGCUCGCGAUUACGAAGCCGAGGAGAUCGCGUGCGCUGUCCCCCGGCAACCCGCACCCGACCACCCGCUUGCCCUGCUCGCCUCGCCAUCUUCGCAGGUUCGCCCUUGCCUCUUCCCCCCACCCUCUGUCUCUUUUCUUGGAUUUAGAUUCACUCUUUUUCUCGGAUGCAGGGUUCAUGAAAACCAAACCCUAUUUCUUGUUUCUGUUCUUGGGUUUAGGGUUCUUGGUCAUCUCCCCAGGAACUCUAUCUUCUUCUUUCUUUCUGUGUCUUUCUUGGAUUUAGGGUUCUUCAUAAGCAAACCUUGUUUCUUGUUCGUCUAUAUGGAGGAUUCUUGAGCUCGCGAAUGGACUACCCAACUAUUUAUAUUUGAUAUUGGAAGUUCUUGAAGAUGGCUAUACAAAACCAAGGAGAUCGCUUGCGGUUUCCCCUCGCAUUGCAUUGGUCGUCAUCUCCUCAGGUUCUUUGCAUCUUUCCGUCCCUCGCUCCUUCUGUCUCUUUUCUUGGAUUUCGAGUUGCCAAACCCUAUUUCUUGUUCUCCUGAUGUGAAUUUUGAGGCUUACAAUCGGUAACUGCUAUGGGACUGGCGUAACCCGUUAAAUUGAUGCGCAGGUUCUUGAUAGUGUCUCAUACGAUUCGCCCGUAUCUAGUCUGAGGCUGUCUCUCUCACGUUUUGCUCUCCCUUCUCCUUCUGUGUCUUCUUUUGGAAAUAUGGUUCGAGAUGUUUGUUGUUCACCUGUACUUGGAAUAUGAGCCCUAUGUUUGACGACAGACAGCAUUACCUUACUGUUUAUGUUUGACAGAGGUUUUUGAAGAGUGUCUUAAGUAGUUUACCUUUCCCCAGUAUCUAGCUUGUUUGCGUUCAUGAAACACCAAAAUUCUGAAAUUCGUCAAACAUGUUCUGAAUCUCCAUGUAUCUAGAAACAUUGUUAGCUGGAGACGAUUUCUUCCCUAAACGUUGUCAAAUGUCGUAAAGGCUACUGUAUACAGUUUUGAUUGUUGAUAAUGAAUCAUGAUGGUAUGGUUUUGGAAAUUAUUUGGUUUUAGAAGAUUAUUUCAUCUGGAGCAUGUUACUAUUCUUCUAAGUUCAUUUACUGUUGAAACUUGGGGUUUUAAGAUACCAAAAGAUUAGGUUGCAAUUUGAGACCUUAUACAUGCACCUACCAAUUCAAAAACUAGUUUCACUGUGGAUUCAUUUCCCACUGGAAAUUAGAAUGUCAAUAGUUUCUGUAAGGAAGGCUUUGACAGCCUUCUAGGUUUGCCAGGCCAUAUGUGCAUGACUUACUAAAUUGGAACGUAUAGUUAUUUAUUAAAUUUGAAGAUUUAAGUUACUGUGGCACAUUGUGCUUGUUGAUGUUUGGCAUGGAACAAGCUGCCCAAAUGUGCUAUUUUGAGAUUGUCUUGAUAUGUGUGUUCUAAUGAAAUGAAAAGGAGAAACAAAAAAAAGAAGGGAAAGGGAAAAAGGUGAAAAGUACUUGAGCAUUUUGUUAGUUUUUUUCUCCAUGGGAGUGCAACAUAUCCUCUAACAAACUCAAGUUCGAAUCAGCCGAGGCUUAAAUUGUCUAGAUAAGGUUGCGAUCUAGGAAUCCAUAAAAUUUCCAUUCUAUGAGCACUUAGUUUGAUUCCAGCAAAGUUUGAACUUGGUUUUCAAAACAGACAGUGCAGAUAGCAUGGACCAUUUUCGGAUCAUCAUAUGAGCUCAACCAAAAAAAAAGAGGUCAAUUUAGUUUGAAUUUCCUAGAUUUUGACUUUAUUUUAUUCAGAUAUGAUGUUGUUGGAUUUUUGUAUGUCAGCAUUUUUUUUGGAAAGUCCAUGUUCUUAACAGGAUGUUAUUCGGUGCAAUCUAGGUUCUUCCUGAUUUUGAGGUUUGUUUUGAUGAUCCACUGAGAGAAAGUGCCACAGAUGCAUCAGAAUCCAUUCUGGAUCGGGAAGAUGGUUGCAGUACCUUGAGAAGUAAGCUCUCAGGAGAAGCCGAUAAUUUGUUAGAAAAAGAAUGGAUUUUUCUGAAAAGUUCGUUGAUGCAGAAGUUCUCCUGCAGCAAUACAAUUACUAUUUCACCGGUGAGCUUCAUGCCAUCUUUUUUAUUUUCUUUUCAUUCUGAAUUAAUAAUUUUUCCUUUUUCUUUUUUGUAAAUGGAUAUGAUAUUUGGCCACUGAGUAUCCAAUUAGGAGCAAUUUUAUUAUAUGUGACUGUGAUACCUAUGUUUACGUUCCAAGGUUUAGAAUUUAAUGUUUUUCUUUUUUUUUGUUGCAAACUUUAAGAGUACGUAAUACUACUGUUUCCAUGACAGAAAAAAUUAUUUUUUAUUGAUAUUUGCUCUAUUCCUUUGUGUAAUGAUAAAUGGUUAGUCCUUGCUGGGUAACCCUGUUGUAGGGACAUCACUAAUCAAUAUUCAUUGGCUGGGUUCAAAUUCCUAAACCAUUUCCUUAAAAGGAAUGGACAAAUUGCCACUUCUCUUACUUUUGUUCGGUUGUUGGUGAAUAAUAUGUUCCCUUGAUGUUGUAAUACGGAAUCUAAAUUUUUGUUUGCAGACCACGGAUGCCAUAAUGAGGAACAACAAAGGUAUCUUGCUGUCACAAUUUUGUUAUCUGUACAAAGCUAUUAAGCAAUGAAAAAAAAUCCUUAACUAUGUGUUUGUCAAUGAGUUGAUAUGAAUAUCUUGUCUGAAAUAUCUUAGUUUAAUAGGAAAGAAUGCAGGAUAUAAAACGCUGGCAGAUAUCCACAUGGAGGAUCUGGAUGAUCCAGAAUCUACUGUGAAAGAGGAGAUAAAAGCAAUUACACGACAGGAAUAUGUUUCAAGAUUACAAGAACUUAAGAGUGAAAUUAAUCAGGCAUGGAUAGCAGAAGAUCGCAUCAGAGCUUUGAAGUUAUCCAUCAAGGCAUGCAUUUUGAAAUUUGAAUAACUGAUUUUGUGUACUGAAAUUUAAAUUAUUUGGUGAAACAUUUGACUCAUCUUACUCUACAUCUGUCCUCAUCACAGGCUAUCCAUUAACUGCAUUAUCGUUCACUUAGUGUGGUCAAAAUUCGUUAUGAUUAAUAUCAGAAUAAAUGUUGAAACCAUUCAGUUUGUGGAUUAUAUAUUAUAAAAUUUUCUAGGAAGUGUUUAAUUCAUUUUGGUCUUGUAAGUUGUAACUGAAUAUUAUAUAUAUAUAUAUAUAUAUAUAUAUAUAUAUAUAUAUAUAUAUAUAUUUGUGUCCAUAUUAUAUUUCUAUUCAUAUGUGUGGCAUAUGCUGAGGAUCUGUCAUAUGCUAGUGGCUUAUGUUUUUUUCUCAUUGUCUUCUUGUAAUAGUGGUGACCCAAUGCGAUGGGAUUUUUGUUGUAUAGAAUCUAUAGAUGCUGUUUUGUGCUUUUUCAUAGGUUUGUUAGUAGAAAGACUUUUUUUCUUCUUGAUACAGUAAAAAGGAAUCAUGCAUAGUUAAUGCUUAUUAGAGUGACUAGAAAAUAACUUGUGAAUUGUUUUUUGUUGAAGAUAGUAAGAUACUUGCUAAUAAAUUAUGGUUUUUGCUGAAGUUUUCCAGAAUUAGUGUGGUUGACAUGGUCAGAUGAUCUAUGACUACAGCGAAAAUCAAAACUAGCCCAUAGAACAUAUGACAUGCUGGUGCAUGAAUAAAUUUUUAAAGUGUGUAUUUUUGGUCAGCCUAUGGUGAAUAUGAAGAAGUGGCAUAGUGCAAUACAACUGGCCACAAUGUCCAGGGCAUUGUGCAAAGAGAAAAAAGAAGAAGAAAGCAGGUAACAUAGUGAAGAGAAAUUAGACUAAUAGCGAAUGAGCUGCUUCCACAAGUCUGUCAGAUUUUUUUGUGUAAUUGUUCAGGCAUAAGAUGUGCUAAAAAUUAAUGUAGAAUGAAUAUAAAGUCUCUAGGAUGCUCAUUAUGCUUACAUGGAAUUGGGUUCUCUAACAUGUUGCAUGACACUAUGCUUAUGUCAUAAUCCUAUUCAACUUCUUGCAGGUGGCCAGGCUUCUAACAGACACUUCUGUUUGCCAAUUUUAUCCUACAUUAUUUACAUUGGUUGUAGAUGUAAUGGAUAUGCUUGGCAAUUUGGUAUGGGAACGAAUUAAGAAGCGGACCGAAUAUGCUGAUGACAGGACACCAGUAUGCUCUUUGCCAGGUGAAUGUUGACAUAUUUUUCUUUCUUCAAGUAUAUAUAUGUCUUUAUGGCUUUUAAGAUAUGCCAAUAUCUUAACAUUGUCGGCCUUUUCAUCCUACUUUUAAGGCCAUCUGAAGAUUUGGCUGCUAUUGUUAUAGUGCCAUGCAAAUCAUAGUUGCUAAAAUUUUUGUUUGACUAAACUGUCUACAUUUAUCUAAUUAGAGAUGUUUUAUUUGGAAUUUUUCUUAAGCAUGGUACUUAUAUUUGCAGAUCAUAAUAUAUUGUCGUUAACCUCAAAUUGGUAUGUUGGUGUAAUGUUUUGUUAACACAUCCGAGACUCAAUGUGCUUUUUCUCUUUGUAUAUGAUGAGACCAUGAUGUAAAUGCUAUUGAAAUCUUUAUCCCUGACAUUAAUGUGGAAAAAUUGCAUUUCUACAUGAUAUAUUUUAGUGCAGAUGUUUUCUUUUCUUUUCUUCUAUUUGUAUUUCUUUUUUCUUUGAGAAGAAUUGAAGGCAAAUCAGAAAUAUGGCUAGGUUAGCUUAACUCUUGUUUAGUAUUUGACAUUUACUUUGGUAGAAGAAUCUUUCUAUUUAUUCUAGCUACUGGAUAUGUUGUAGCUAUUUGAAGUUACAGUUGCAACUUAUUUUAAAUCAAUUUUGGCUUUUUUUUUAAUGCAUGUAACUGUACGGAGGCCUAAGAAAUUUUUUUUCAUGAGAAAUGUUAAAGAUGGCUUAAAUUAACAAUUUUGAUGCUUUUCUACUUAUACAUAAAUUUAAAAUUUUAAUUAUUUGAGUAUGCAGAGAACUUUACAUCUGAUGAUAUUUGUUCUGAGGCAAAAGAGACUUGUUACAAUUGGUUUUGCAAAAUUGGUUCAAUUCAUGAACUUGUUCCGCGUAUGUAAGUUUCUUUUACUUUCUCCUUUCCAGUUCUGAUUUUUCUUGAUUUUAUUUACCUUUUGUGGUGUACUUUCGUUUGAAUACUCUUUUAAUUACUUGGUUAAUCAAUUCUCAUGGUUCUGAUAUGUACCAUAAACGUGCAACGGUGCAAGCACACCUUUUGUUUUGAGUUCAUUCUGGAGAUCCACCUAGAUGCUUGUCAAAUUAAUUUGCACAAUUCAAUAUGGGACUUUAGUGCCAUUCCUAGAGAGCCGAGACACGGGGCGUGACACAUCCACUUUUUUACUCACAAGGCUUGCCUUGCCUGAUAUGACUGUUGUGCUAGUUUGCAUGGGUGGCACCUGCUGAGACAGGCUAAGUGUGUUGUCCUAUAUCAUAUUGAGCCAUGCAAUUCCUCUAGUGCAUUUUUGGGUCAAAAUUUAGCAUGUAUCGACUUGCAUGAUCCUGCUGCAAAGGUGUCAGUACUGAAUAGCAUGUUAUUAUCAACUAUCAUGAAUUGUGCAUUUUGCUCCUUACCAUACUGGAUAUUUUGUCAUUAUGGGGAGUGUUAGUAUGCGCUUUGUAUCAUUCCAAUACACCCUUCAGCAAUAUGUUUGGUUUUUUAUGGUCAGUGGAGGUCCCUUACCAUACUAUGGCACACAUUGAUAUGAUUAAUGAUUAUCCCUGUAUUUUAUGAUAGUUAAACUGAAAUAUUUAGUUUUAAAACUUUUUUUUUUUAUUUAUGUAAAAUUCAGUUGGUCUUUUGUAUCACAUUAAUCUCAGUCCUGUGGGUUGUACAUGUUAAGUUAUUCACACAUUUAUGCAAAAUUAUACUUAGGUGCCAUGUGUGCAUGGUUCUGCAUAUUAUAAAUCAAUUAAUUGUAGGGUCCCUGGUCAAAUGUUUUUAUGGGCACUGUUACUCUCUUCGGUCUGGUGCUGAGGUCUUCUUUGAACCUUACACAUGCAAGGUGGUUUUUGAUACCAAGUUUUUAGGUACCCAAUUUAGGGUGUCCAUCUGUCAUUUUCUCCUUUUUUACAUGCGAAGGUUUCUUGUUUCUAUUGCUUGUACCCUUCCUAUCUAAAGGAGGUGCUAUUUAUCAUCUUAUGACAUGUCAUGGAUCAGCCAACCUUCAGCUUGAAGUUGUUACUGGUGAUGCUGCCAAUAUUAUGGAUGGCGAUGGGCUUGGAUGGGAAAGCUAUGAGGAUGAUGCUUUGGUGGUAAUUGAUGAUGACUUUAGCAUGGAGGAGGCAACAACUGUUGUAGUUGAAACGUGAAAGGCUCAUGGGGAUUUAUGAGAGAUGUAUCUGGCCUUAUAUCUUGCGUGUUGUUUCUUCCCUCCUAUUUUAGAGUUCUUUCGGUUUUCCUUGGAGUUUCUAACCAUUUGCUGGUUGUCCUUUCUUUCCAAUACUACCUUUGAAGUCAUCAUGUAGAGUUAUAGGAAUGUGAUCAACAACCUGAGGGAUAGGUGUGCUGAUCUUAUUUUGGCGUAACACUUCAGUUACAAGAUUGCUGGAAACUCGUGUGAUGGGGACUGAGCUGUAUUGAUCAUUUGCGCUGUUAGUCACAGUGGAAGUGUUCUUGUCAUCCUUGCACGUGCUAAAGCUAGGGUCCUUUUUGUGUUACUAGAGUGGGCAAGUUUUGGUCUAUUUCCUUUCCAUCUGUGGACAAGCUGGCUAUUUAGUAAAUCCUUGUCUGGUCAUGCUUUGGGUCAUUGCUUGCUAUGAGAUGAUGCUAUUAUUAGACUGAGGGGAGGUAACUAACAUGUGUCCUAUGUGGCUGUUGCUACGUGACUGAGGUGUCUCCCCCUUCUUUCUUUGUUUUAUGUGGCUACUUCCCAAGGGAGCUUAAGCAUUUGUGCCAGAAUGACCUCUUGGGUUUGUAUAUUGAUUGUAGAAAAAGAAUCCUCAUUAGGAUGGUUGUUCGUGGAGCUGAUAUUAGCAUGAGAUUGUAGCAUCAUGACAUGCACGAAAUGUUGCAUCUCUGGGUCACAGCUGUAAAAUGAUGCCAUUUGGAUUUACCUUUUGCUUGUCAGAUAACAUUUAUAUGCAGGCUUUUGUCAUGUUUUUGCUGCUGAACUUUUAUUUUGUGUGCUUGAGGCAAAUGUAUGACGUGCAUGGCAUAUUUUUUAUAUCAGAUAUUUGGAGCUAGCCAUUUUACGGUGUUGGCGUUUUCUAGAAGAUAGUUUUGUGUCUAUCGUUGAGCGGUUGGUUAUGAUGAUGAGAGGACUGGCUGAUCCUCUUGUAUCUGCCUAUUGUCAUCUUUAUUUGGCUCACUGUGCAAGAUCGUUGUAUUUAGGAGAUGAUGGUAAGAAAGAAUUUGCAAAUUGUCAAUUUUUAUCCUUUCGUGUUCACUUCCCUAAUUUAAUGUGUGUUGUUAGGCUUUUGCCACUUUUUCUUUCGAAAGAUCUUUACAUUCCUGCAAAGAUUACCUUGCUGAUCAUCCUGAGUCACUGGAGCUUUUCAUUUCAAGAAUAUAAACUCCAAUAAGUUUUUGUUAUUGCCAUGAUGUAAUUUGUUCAAGAAGCAAUUAUGCUACUUUUCUGCUAUUUCAUAAGUGGACCCACAAGCCAAAAGAAGUUCCUUGUUACUGUUUAUAUUGUUAAUAAACUCUUGCUUGAUUUGGAAUACAAUUUUAUCAACCAGCUUUAGUGGAAUGAGCUAUUUUGAUUAUAGUGAUUUUUACAUAUGCAUGAGUAUUCAUGUGCCUACAUGUGUAGGCAUGCAGUAUCUAUCUACAAGCAUCAAUCACAUCAAUCACAUGUUUUCUCCAACAUUUUUUUAUUACUGAACUUUGAUUGGUUAUAUGAUGUUCCAACCUCAUUUGAUGUAUAUGUCCAAUGAUAUGACAUUGAGAUACCGCUAGUGUGUCAGAUUUGUCGUGUAAGCUUUUUGUUGUCAUACAAAGUAGAAAUGCUCUUUGAUUUCUGCAUCAAGUACUUCCUGCCUUUUUUAUAUAGAGAGUUCCAUAAGAACUUGCUUUAGCAUAGUUUUGAUACUUAUUUCUUCUAAAUAGGAUAUUUGAUCAUGUCUCUCGGGGACAUCUCUAUUCUACUGAGACGGGUCCUUUUGGAUAAAGAAACAGUUGGACACCAUUCCUGCAAGAAUAAAUAUUUUCUUAUAAGUUUAAUAAAACCUGCCAUUGACUGGAUUGUGAAGUGUAUAUUUACCGAAGGUUAUCAGGUUUGCACAUUUAAUUUUUUUUAAUUAUUUGAACUAUUUUGUAUGCUGCACAUUCAUGAUCAGUAUCACCCUUGAUGAUAACCUAUCCAAAUUUUUGAAGAUACCUAUUCCAUUGCGGUUCUCAUCGCAUUAUGUUUUGUUUGUGAUAUGUUCCUUGGUGAGAUAAAUCUGAAUGCCUUUGUGUUUUACCUGAGUUUUUCUAUGUUGUGAUAGGAGAAAAAACAGAACAAAGGCUCUGCUUCCCUUUUUGUGCGCUAUAGCUGAAGAUUUUUAAUAAUGUGUAUUGUCUAGAUUCUAGAAGUUGUAGAUCAAACCCUAUAAGAUAAUUUCUGGCUCAUGUAGAAGUAUAUUGCGAAGUGCCCUGCUUAGUAGGCUGCAGCAUCAGAUGAGUCUGAACUGGAACAGUUGGAACAGGAACUUUUCUGCUGCGUCUUCUCAGAAUAUAAAAUAUCCAUGCUAGGUCUUGUUGAGGAUCUGAUCUGCAACCAACAACUCUCCCAUUGUGCAUAUUGCACACUAGUCUCAAGCACAUGCCAUGCAUGUGUGAGAUGAUAAGAAGCAUUUAAAGCGAAAGAGAGAGAGAGGCAAACACUAAUUGUCAGAAGCAAUAUUCUAGGCCAUUUUGAACUAGCAGAAAUUAAAACCAUCAAUACCAAAAGAAAUGAUUUUAGAUGCAUUCUGAAAUUCAACAAAUGCUCAUAAAGGCUUUAGAAGUUGAUCCUUUAUAAAUGCUGCAUCCAACACCUCAUAUUUUCUGUCACCUUGUAAGCAAUCUCCCUAGUUUUUUAAUCAACAAGUUGAACUUGUUGAAUGUAUGAUCCAGGUCAAUAGGUGCAGCUAUCUAUCAUAUUUAGAAUUAAUCACGUCAUAUUGAGAAUUAUAAUCCUGAUCAUUAAUGCUUUUCUGUUAUGCUUCUUACCUCUAGUUAUUGCUUGAUAUAAGAUCAUUUAAAAUAUACUUCUUUUUAUAAACUUGGUUGCAUCCAUUGUUACCAGCAUUUUCCUACCCAGAUCAGUCCAGGUUAUUCUUCCUAAUUUAUAUUAUUUUGUCUCUGAAAUUAAUUGUAUAAUCAUAAACCAAUUAUAUAGACAAUACCUGUUUAUAUUCUUGUUUUAGAUUCAUGUAAGAAAAUUUUCAAAAUAACAAAAACAUUAAAUACUAUAUAAAAAAAGUUUAUUUUUUCGAUCUUCAAUUGUUGUAUUGAUCAUGAUGUAAAUUUAUUCUGUACUAAGACCUGAUUAUCUUAUACCAUGUGGCAAGCAACUUAAAGAAAGUGAUUCCAUAAUCAAUAUGUACCAUGCCCUAGAAUAACAAACUAACUAAUCCUAUCAUAUGAUGAUUUCAUGUGGUAGGUCCUGUGUCGAUACUUGAACCAUGUUAGGAAGGUCGAUCCUAACAUGGUGUUUGUUGGAUUCAUGGUCCAGAUACACGAUCCUAUGUUGAUGUGUCCUGUAUAUGCCUCAGUGACAAGCAUGGUCAGACCAUCAUUAUUGGACUACCUCAGGAAGAAGAGGCUGAACUCACCCUAUUUGAAAAAAUCAGCACCAGCAGAUAUGCUGCAGUCUUUUGCAGCAGUUGCAAUCAUUGGACAUUUGCAGUUGGAAAGAAAUGUGUGGGUGUGUGUUGGUUGGGGCGCAGCGGAAGAAAGAUGGCAAGGAAUUUUUUUAAUGAAUAGAAGGAUAUCUAUCGUGCUUCAUCUGCUCCCCACUGCAGGUGUGUCUGUGUGAGACUGAGAGAGAGAGAGAGAGAGAGAGAGAGAGAGAGAGAGAGAGAGAGAGAGAAUAGACUAGUCCUGAGCAAAGCAUUGUUGAUUAUGCUCUCUUCGGGUAGUCACUUCAUUCUUAAAAUGCAACCAUUUUAGAAGUGGCUAUUUAGAAUAUAUUAGAGAAACAAAGGUUUUUGAAGAUCCAACUCCAUAUUGCAAGUUAUAAAUGAUAUUCUAGCGUUGGUGGCUGUAUUAUUACAUAUGAUGGCUAUUGUGGAUCUGGACUUUUCUUUAAAAAUAAAUCUAAUUGUGUAUUUAUAUUUGUAGAUUGAGGUUAUAAUCCAUGGGUUUUGAUUAUAACCCGGAAACCUGGUUCAUAACAACAUGGAUUGAUUGGGAAGCUGUACAGUUGUGGAUUAAAAGGGAGACCAGUAAUCUUGUUGAAAUUUGAAGAGUAAUGCAUCUCUUCUUGUAAGAUCAGAGUUCGCAUCGAGGACCGAUUCUUCUUUUGUAUAAGAUUGGAAGUUCUAUAACUUUGGAUACUUUACAUGAAACCAACUAAGCAGCCAACGGGACUGGCUGCUUGCUCUUCAUCCCCUUUGGGUUUUUUCCAAGAAACAUAGUUAGUUUUCCUUUGUCAAGACACUUAUUUAAUGAAAUAUAGCCCAUAAUAAACUAGCUCUCUUGGUACUAUCAUGAAAGGUCAUCUUUGAUAUAGCUUUCUACCAAGCAAUGAUCUUAAGUACUUUUUAUGCCUUUUCAGAUUCAUAAUUUAUGCAGGUGAGAUAUACCAUUGUGGGCUGUAAAUUUGGCAGGUUAUGUUGUUUUAAGCUUUAACUUCCAACAUGAAAUUGUGUCCCUGCUUAUUACCUAAUGGCCGUUGGAUCACAUUAUAUUGGGGAUUCAUUGGGGAAUUUUGCUUAUCUGAUCUAGUAUAUAUAUAUAUUUAAGUUAGUCAUUAUAUUGGAGUAUGUUUCUGUCCAAAUCAGAUGUAUUUUUCAACUAAUAAUAUGGAUUUGAUAAAGCUUACUAUCAUAUUUUAAUGCUAAAACUGGCUACUGAUGUGAUUUUGGCUUAUGCUGUUUAUUUUUGUGUUAUCCUUUUGUUUGGUUGAUUGAACUUGUGUAGAAUAAUUUUCUAGUGGACAAACUUUUUAAUUGAUAAGGAUUUACAUCGAAUGACAGGGCCAUCCUAGAUUUAUUAUUUGAAAUGCCUACUUUCAAGUGUUCACUACUAAUUCCAUAAAUGAUAUUUUAUUAUGGUUCAAAUAAUUAUCCUGGAUCUAGUGACCUUAUAUCAGUUUCUUGAAAACUAGAAUGCCAGUAAUAUACUUGUGGAGUUUGGUGUGGGAAGCGAUCUAUCAGUUUCAACCAGGAAGUUCUCAUGUGUCUCCGUAGUUCUUCAUUAUCUCCUUAAACAUCUUCCAGCUGAUGUUAUCAGCAACAAUGCAGUGGAAAUUAUAGAUUUUAUUGAACAAAACAAAGAUAUGUCAGUUGAAUCUGUACGUCAGCUAUGAACUGUGAGCUGUAUGUAAAUAUUUUUCUUCAUGUUUUGUCUUUGCCACUUGGUCAUUUUAUCUACUGUCCUAUUGCAGCAUUUGGAUUAUAGGCUCCUUGGACACAAACUCUACGAGUGCCAACACUCACUCAGUUCUGUUUGUGCUGUAAUGAGAAGAAUUAUGCAGGUAGUUUAGGUCAUUUCAGUUGCUCAUUGCAUAUUUCUUGUUUCUGUUGGAUUCUCUUGCUUAUACAUAAUGCAUAAGGACAGUAUGUAGAUUACUCUGCUGUAAUGCAGUCAGCUUCUUUCAUUAUGCUGAAUUUAGAAAGCCAGUUCACUAGGUUUAACCGUUUUUAUGCAGCUCUUUUUUGAACGUGGUGAACAUCUCUCCACCUUUUCUCAGUUAUUUAAAGCUAACAAAAAGAACAGUUACCCAAGUUAAUAUUUUGUUCUUCAGUAUCUGUGUGUGUUUUCGCAGUCAAUUUACUGAGUUUUUGAUUCUCUAUGUUGAUCUAUAAAUUAUGAACAAAAAUGAUAUAUAUAUUUUUCACUCUUAUGGUUAAAUGUUCUUUAUGUUGAGCCAUAUGCAUUCCUUUUUUUCUAAUUUCUUAUCAUUUCUUUUACCACACACACACACACACACACACACACACAUAUAUAUAUAUAUAUAUAUAUAUAUAUAUAUAUAUAUAUAUAUAUAUAUAUAUAUAUAUAUAUAUACUAUUGAUUCCUUUUCUUUCCUUUUGAAUGAGUUUUAGCUUUUUGUGUACUUCUGGUUGUUGCAUAUUUGUGUGAAUAAUUUCUGCAUUUUGGUUUGCAUGAUCUACAGGUUGAGGCUUAAGUUACUGUAAUUAGUUCAUAUGAACUUAGCUUUGGUUGUCUUGUGAUUCUUUUGCUAUUUUUGUUUUUAACUUGAAAGUUAUCAUUCUUUUAAGUUUUAACUUCAACUUAUCAUCAUCUCCACCAAGGUUUGUGGUUUGCAAUAUCACCUGGUACAAUAUGGUAUGAGCAGUAUUAAUCAAUCUGACAUGUUACCGGUACAUGGACCAAUGUAAAGUGGGCAGUAUGCUGACCUGUACCGCUCGGUACAUCUGGUACAGCAUUGAUACUGCCCAUUGCAGGCUGAUAGCUCUGUACUGAGUAGUCUCCAUUUAUUUGUUUUUCAACCUGUUUAGUUUUUUUUUUUAAACUCAAUACGUACCAGUCUGAGCCCUGAUUGGUGCAGUAUCGGUUCAUGAAACUGCAAACCUUGCUUUCCACAUAAUUCAUGAUCUAUGGGCAAAACCGAUUGGUCAUUAGUUUCAUUUUCCUAUGACUUUGGAUUACCAUAUGAUACCAACCAUACUAUGCAAUCACAAAACAGGCUCGGAGUGUUUGUAUCCACUUAGUGUUGUGACUUCAAUUAAAAUGCUAAGAGUUGUAUGGGUUGAAGUAAAAGCCAUGAUGCUGAUCCAAGUUUAUAGUUUCCUGUAGCUAUAUGCAUGGUUUGCCUUGCAUAUGUUGGCUUGUGUGAGCCUGUACUUCAAUUAGAAUUGUGAUCUUUCACAUCACUUGACUAGGAAUAAAUGAUGCAGUUUCUGUUAUCUUAUUGCAUGCGGUACUUAAAAAACGAUUUCUUAUUUGUCUUGUGUAUGUGUUUCAGAACUGUCCUGAACUGACCCAACCCUUCCCAGCAGGCAGCAGCCUGGCAUCGCUUCCCUGGUGCUUUGUCUGCACUGAUAUGCCUUCAUCUUUAUCAUUCUCUAUUGGGAACUUUCAAAUACAUAUGCCUUGACAAUGGCACCUGAGCUGAAUAGGUUGACCCUGAGUGAGUAGUGGAGGCUCUCUUGCUUUCUACAUUAUUACAAAAAUCAAUAGUCCAACCAACCACCUAGCUUGCUCUUUAAGUGCUCACCUUUUUGUCUUUUGUCUACUUUUAAUAUCUAGACUAAUUCAAUUUGCUAUUGGUAUCAAUGAGAAACCUGCAAUAUUUACAACUAUGGGGAGCCACUUCAUUUUUCUUUUGAGAUACCAUUUCAAGACCAAUAACUUGUGUCAUUUUCUUCAGUCUCUUUGGGGGAAUGAUUAGAUUUGAGAGUUUCAUAUUAAAUUAAUAUUCUGUCACUUAUUCUGCACUAGUUCUGGGGGCAAUGCAGGUAGCACUUGCAUACUCUUAAAUGUUCCUAUGGGAAAUUUAUAAUCUGAAAUUGUGACCAAAAUUAUUUGGAGGAGUCACUUGUUUUUUUGCCUGAUACUUGAUUUCAGUAUCUUGUAUAUUGAUUUUGUAGAUUUUUUCUCUUUGUUCGCCAACAUGCAUCUAUUUUGUCUUUUUACUAAAUUCAGGUACUUGGUCAAUACGAUAAUCUAAAUGAGUAUUUGAUAAUAGCAGAUGCUUAUCUAGACAUCAUCCUUCUGUAUUCAAUGGUAAGUCUUUUAAUCUCUUUUCUUUGGCAAUAUAUUUCUUUUAUGAUGUUUGUCAGUACAAUAAUUUUAAUGAGCACAUGGUAAGUCAUUNNNNNNNNNNNNNNNNNNNNNNNNNNNNNNNNNNNNNNNNNNNNNNNNNNNNNNNNNNNNNNNNNNNNNNNNNNNNNNNNNNNNNNNNNNNNNNNNNNNNNNNNNNNNNNNNNNNNNNNNNNNNNNNNNNNNNNNNNNNNNNNNNNNNNNNNNNNNNNNNNNNNNNNNNNNNNNNNNNNNNNNNNNNNNNNNNNNNNNNNNNNN